rnacentral:lncRNA from 1 species
AGUGAUCGAUAACGCAAAGGAGCAACUUGAAGAUCAAUGCCCUGGCGUCGUCUCAUGCGCUGAUAUACUUGCAAUGGCUGCUAGAGAUGCAGUCUUCUGGGUAGGAGGCCCCUUUUAUGAGAUACCAAAAGGAAGAAAGGAUGGAAGGAGGUCUAGAAUAGAAGAUACAAUUAACUUGCCUUUUCCCACUUCCAAUGCCACUGAGCUAAUUAGACAAUUUGGUCAGCGUGGUUUCACUGCUCAAGAAAUGGUUGCUUUGUCCGGUAAGCAUAUAUUAUACAUAUGAUAUGUAUAUACAAUUGAAAUAUAACUAGAAAUCAAAAUAACAAGAAGUUAAACAUGUGCGUUUAAUUGGAUAUAUAUAGGAGCACAUACUCUUGGCGUAGCAAGGUGCGCAUCCUUCAAAAAUAGGCUCAGUGGUGGUGAUAUCAGCGUCGACUCAGAGUUCGCAAAGACAUUGUCGAACACAUGUAGCGGUGGAGACGACGCAGAGCAGCCCUUUGACCCUACAAGAAACAGUUUCGACAAUCUUUACUUCAAUACGCUUCAAAGGAAAUCUGGACUUCUUUUCUCCGAUCAAGCUCUGUUCACCAGUCCACAGACUCGACCAAUUGUCAAUGGCUAUGCUUUUAACGAAGCCAUGUUCUUUCUUGAUUUCCAGCAGGCAAUAGUGAAAAUGGGGACGCUUGAUGUGAAAGAAGGAUCCAAAGGCGAAGUGCGACUUACUUGCCGCCAAAUUAACUAAACAACUACGUACCCACUAUUAUUUUAUAUAUUAUUAUUAUUAUUAUUGUAUCAUUAUUGGAUUUGGAUGUAGUAAUAAUAUAAUUAAACGUUACAAAUAUCAUUUAGAUAAUAUAAUCACAAUUUCGUGAGUCACUCAACCACUACAUAUAUACUAGCUUUACAAAUGCAAGCAUUUCAUCUUUAGAAUAUUUUUUCACAAGACGAUGGUAUUUUGUGGGAAAACAAAUUCAUAAAAUUAAUUGGUAAAAAGAUUGUUAACAUGUAAAAGUUGACAGAGCUUGAUGAAAUAUGAUCAGCCUCGCUCUAAAAGCUGAUAAAUUAUAGUAAAAAGACUAAUUAAACAUCUAAUUAGCUUUUUAAUUAAUAUUUGAAACUGUAAAAAUAUGGACAUAAGAGGUACUAAUUAAUAUUUGAAACUGCAAAAACAUAGACAUAAGAGGUACUUAGGUAUAACGAACCUAAAAUAUAAAGGUAUUAUAAUCUAUUUAAAAAAAAAAAAAAUAUAGAAAGAUAAUUUCGAUUGCUUUUUCGUUGAAGUAAAAUCUGUUUUAAGAGUUGCAUGGAUAAAGUCAUUAAAAAAUGAAAAUUGGUAGAGUGACUUUUUGGGCCGGAUCCAUUUUAGAGGGACACUAUUGGGCCCAUCUGCUGACUGCUGGUUAGAAAUCGAAAUCAUCUUCUCUUACGAUUUAAGCAAUUAAUUCUAAUUUCUCAGAUCCAAAUCGAAUUCGAGGGAGAAAGAGAGAGAGGAAAAUGGAGAAGAUGAACCAGGCAUUUGAGAAGAUGAAGAUGCUUGUUGGAAUGGAAGUGGACGACGAGGACCUAGCCGCUGCAGAGGACAGCAGUUCCUUCUCUUUAUUGGACGACUUCAAUCGCAACUGCACUCUCUCCACUAAACAGGUUUCUCCAAUUUCUUCUCUUUAUUUUUAGAUUAAGCUCUCUUUCUCUCUUUAAAUCAGCUGCAACUCACUGUUUUAAUCAACUCAACACUGCUUGUACCCUGUGUUAACUAAAUUGACCUAGGAUUGAAGGAACGUCAAUUGCUUGAUUUACAUUUCGAAAUUAAUAUUGUAUUUCAUUUUUACGCAUUUUAAUGCAUAUUCUGUUUUUUCUCCUUCUCAUAUGAACAGAGGCUUUACGGUUUCGUCAUCUGCUUUGUUUCUGGCUUAGCUUGUACACUUUUGGUAAGUUCAACCAUCAUCAAAUCCAUCAUUCUUUCCCUUGUCAUCGCUCUUGUAACUUGUAACUGAAGAACUAUUCCUUCUUUUUUUUUUUUUUCUGAAUAUUGCUCUUCUCUCUGCUAUUCGCCUUUUCUGUUUACAGCUGGACUCUAUGGUCGAAUUAGUAAAUUAGCCAUAAGUUCACGGUGGUAGGAGAAGGAGCGACUCUUUCAAUUUGAAACUCUUGACUUAUCCUUUUCCCGCUAUUUAACUUUUUAGUUUUGAAUUUGUUUAAAUAUGUAUGCUUGCAUUGCAACUGCUCAGAGGUUUUGAAUGGGACCUACACGUGUUAUUUCUCAAAGACAAAUUUGUUACCUUUGUCCAUAAAAGGUCAUUUGAGUAAAAUUUACUUGCAUCUGCUAAAAUUUGAUCAGUCUGUUGCAAUUGCCGUUUAUUUUUCCUUUCCUCUUGAAAUUUAAAUUUUUGCGUCAAACGCUGUAAAGAGCUCUGGAUUAUGUCCAAAAUCUGUGAACUAGAAAAAUUGCAUAUUUAACGCUAGAUUUUUUUAUUGGUGAUGUAAAUAUGAGGCAUGAAGCAUUAUUAUUCGUUUUUCUUUACAUUAGGUCAUAUUGAUAAUAUCUGAGUUAGACAAAUUUGGUGGCUUUUAAAUUAAUUAAUUUGUUUUCUCUUCCAUGUCUCACAGUCAAUGCUGGUUUUUUUCAAUCCAAUUAAGUUUGGCAUUGCAUUCACAUUUGGCAAUUUGCUUUCACUUGGAAGGUUUGUAUUCUGCUAAAUGGAUCGUAAUUUGUUAUAUAUAUAUAUAUAUAUAUAUAUAUAUAUAUAUAUAUAUAUAUAUAUAAUUGCACACCNNNNNNNNNNNNNNNNNNNNNNNNNNNNNNNNNNNNNNNNNNNNNNNNNNNNNNNNNNNNNNNNNNNNNNNNNNNNNNNNNNNNNNNNNNNNNNNNNNNNNNNNNNNNNNNNNNNNNNNNNNNNNNNNNNNNNNNNNNNNNNNNNNNNNNNNNNNNNNNNNNNNNNNNNNNNNNNNNNNNNNNNNNNNNNNNNNNNNNNNNNNNNNNNNNNNNNNNNNNNNNNNNNNNNNNNNNNNNNNNNNNNNNNNNNNNNNNNNNNNNNNNNNNNNNNNNNNNNNNNNNNNNNNNNNNNNNNNNNGUGUUUUUUUAUAUAUAUAUAUAUAUAUAUAUAUAUAUAUAUAUAUAUAUAUAAAUAUGUCACUAUUUAUUUUGAGACUCUCAUCAAUCAAUAAUCUAUUAAUUCUAUGUUUUCAUGUGUAUUUUCCAUGUCCAUUACUGUGAUUUCAGAUACUAAGUUGGAGUAUUUUCUGUGGCAGCACAGCAUUUCUCAUAGGGCCAAAGCGUCAAGUGACUAUGAUGCUUGAUCCUGUUCGUAUAUAUGCAACUGCCCUAUAUCUUGCGAGUAUAAUCAUUGCCUUGUUCUGUGCACUAUAUGUAAGUUACUUUUUCCCCCCUUAGUUCCUGAUUGUAACUAUUGUUUUGCAUCAGACAGGGAAAUAAGUGACAUUGCAUAAUCUGUCUUGGCAUUUGAUGAGCAGGUCCAUAACAAACUUUUGACGCUUGUGGCAAUUAUUCUAGAAUUCAGUGCGCUAGUUUGGUACGUUACUAGUAUUCAUGUGUUUCACUGUGGACAUUUUAUUUCAGUUCCAUAGAAUCAAAUUGAUUAUAUUUCAUAUUUGUUAUAUGCUUAUAACCUUUUUCGAUGCUUUAAGUAUAGCUAACUAAUGUCAAAUGCAUGCCCCUAACAAAACCAAGAUAUGAGUAAAAUGUUGGACAAAUUAUCUGCUGUUUGUUGUUUCAAUGGACUUCUCAUGGAUGUGUUCAGGUGAACUUGUAAUGACCUCAAAUUCUAUACAAAGCCUACCAAUUGGGUUACAAUGAUUUGCAUUCUGUUUUUUCUCGGGUAAAGGUACAAGGGGUCUUGUAAAGCAUGAAUUCUCUUUGGCUUCUGUUUUGUGCAUUAGAGCGUUGACAGUAACAUUCUAAUGGCUAACAGUCUGACAAAUCAAAGUGCAUUAUUGUUCUAUUGAGUCUGAAGUCUUAUGGUGUACAUCAACUAUAUCUGCUGAAUCAUUGUGUGUUCUGAUGAAGAACUGAUUUUGAAAAUCUCUUAGGAAAAAUAGUCGAAAAAUAGUCAACUUCAUUGGUUUAGUAUUCCAAGGAAAGAAGUUUUAUUUAUAUAUAUAUGGCAAGUUAAAUUUAAUAUUUUCAGCCAUAUGUAAUGUUGUUGGCCAAUGCCAUUGAUGAAUUUUAUUUUUAUACUUGAUUUCAUCUCACUGGUAUGGAAGUGAAAUGGCUAGUUUAAUCAAUCCGUAUUUAUGUCUUCAUAUGGCUGUGAAUGAUGUGAGUUUUCCCUUUCAUGAUUUACAGGUAUAGCUUGAGCUACAUUCCCUUUGCAAGGUCCAUGGUUUCGAAGGUCGUGUUAGCUUGCUUUGACACUGAAUUUUAGGUUGCUAUACACUCUCAGUAGAGAACAACGGAUGUAUUAAUUGUUGAGCAUAAUUCGACAUAUAUGUAAUCAAAUUUUCUGCAGGUGUAUUCUAGGCUAGUCCAUCGUAGUUGUAUGUAAAAAUUUGACAUGGGUACAUGAUAGAAAUAUACGAAUGGUCAGAAAGUUACAUGGUUGUGACAUUACCGUCAAUGUCUUCAAUAUUUGCCCUUUCUUCACCAUCAAUACUAAUAUUAGUGUUAAUUAUGCGUCGCAUGGGCUUCAUAUACCGGAAACUGAAAAUUGUCUAGAUCGUCAUAAGUUUUACAUGUAUAUGAUCAGCUAAGGACGAUAUGAAUUCAACAGUGCCAAAAUAUAUGACCGCUUAGAUCUUAUUUGGCAUUAUGAUUGAAAAUUUUUUUUCAAAAAUUAUUAUUUCAGUUGCUGCUCAGAAAAGUAGUUUUCACAGUUCUGUUUGGCUAUAUAUUUUGUAGUAAGUUUUAUAAUUAAUAUAUAGGAAAUUCAUCUCAAAAUAAAUUUUAAUAAUCUGUAAUAAACAUUUUCCUUCAAUAAAAUGCUAAACAUACCUUUAGGCUUAGCCGCUCUCCCUCCAUAAUUCACCAAUAAGGUGUCUUCUUUCUUUAUUAAUUAUUCCUAAAUGCAGCAAUUCACUAACAAGGUGUCUUGUUUCUUUAUUCCUAAGUGCAGCAGAACAGUAAACUUGUGAUCGUAUUCUGAUUUUAUUUUUUUUUUAUUUUUUAUUUGUUUUAAAUGUAGGUAUCUCCAGCCAACUUGGUUUUUAGACCGGAUUGAUCCACUAAGAAGUAAAGUUCUCCUACUGAAUAUUUACUUUACAUAUAAAGAUCUAACUCUCGAUCUCGCUCAAAAAAGAAAAAUGUUCGGUUAUCUUAAUUUUUUAUUAUUGUCACUUUCCCUUAGAUGAGACCACAAUUAAUCAAUUACUAAUAGGCUCACAUCAUUAUCCAAGCGUAAAGCAUGUAUUAUGAAUACUUUAAACGGUGUUAGCAUGAACCAUAUCAUUAAGACAUAGAACAAAGAAAAGAAAUUAAGAUUAUUUAGCAGUCAAGCAAAUCCACCGUCCAAUAUUAUAUGGUAAAGAAAAAUUGGAAUUGAGUGCAUUAAUGUAUUAAAAUUAGGAUCAUGGAAGCAUCAAUUAGUGCCUAUGUUUAUCAUAAUUAUAACCCCUAAUUCUACUUAGCCAUAUAUAUUAUCAAUACUUUCUUUAAUUUGACCCAGGUAUCCUAAGUUUAAUUAAGUUGAAGUUAGAUAUGUGUCAAGUCCAAAAAUAAUUAGGAUUAGUAAAAAGUUUCUUUCUGCACAUGCAUCCUACUUAUGCUUAAUGACUUAAUUAUUCAUUCAUUUCUAUCUAUACACCGAUCAAGUAACUUAAUUUUACCCUUUAUGGGAUGCUAAUGCAUAUAAUCCAACUUUGUAGCAGAAAAUAAGGUCCCUUCUUCUUUUCAAUGUUUCCUUUUCUUUUAUUCAGUUAAAAAAAGAGAGAGAAUGCUUGCUAUAAGUACCAAAUUAAGCUGUUGGAUGAGACAUUUAUUUGAUUGUGAUUACCUUAAGCUAUAGUAGUUCCCUUGGCAUUCAUUAUAUUCUCCUUCAUUUUGGAUUGGACAUGGCAUUGCCUGCCAACCUUAAAAUUCCAAUGAUCAGAAAUAUAGUCGGUAAGUAAUCCAAGUAGUUGAGCGUUAAUUUGACCAGCAAAUGCUUUUGCAUCUUUUUCAACUAUUAUAAUAAAUAUGUUUUGGGGUUGUUUAGACGAUUCUUAUAUGCAAAAAUUUAAUUUGGUAGGUACUUACUAACGAUUACAACGUCCUGCAAUCGAAGCAUUUAUUCAUGCAUACCAACAGUGCGAAUUAGUGAUCUGUAAAAUCAAAUGAGACCCGAGGUUUUGAAUUGCAAAAUCUUAUGGGUUAUAAGAUCAUGAUCAUGACUAUUCCAUGCAUGCACCACAGAAGCUAACAAACAUGUUCAACGUGUACGUGUAAAACCGCAAUGGCAUCUUUAUUUGUUCCGCCCAAACAUUAAAAAGAAACAACAUGAAAACGUACAUAGAGGACUAGUGUAGCUAGAGCUUUUCCUGGAUUCAACCAGUUAUGUCAUGAAGUAGAAAUAAACUUUCUUGACUGCGUAAUCGUGGAUAUGUGCCAUUACUCAAAAUUCUGGCACAUUCAAGCCGGAAAUCUAGACUAUUACACAUGCCACCAAAGCACAUAGUCUUAAAGAACGAAAACACAAUUAAGAGGAAAGCGUAAAACACAAUAUGAAGAGCAUGUGGAAGCAUAAAUCGUAAAGUGAAAAAGAAAGUGCUCUGAUUCUAAUUAGGUGAGGAGUUUUUCUUGGCAAACUGGUGCUUGUUGUUGUGCAUCCAUACUUUGAAAACUCUCCUCUUAAUCCCAAUCCCUUGGCAAAGUCGCUGCACAGCAGAUUCUUCCAGAUUUUGCAUUUUCCAUCCAGCCUUCUCUGCAAAGUUGAGCAUCUCUUGCUUCUGUUCUUCUGUGAACUUGGUCCUGAAUCUCUUUUUCGGCUUCUUCUCAACUGGACUAGUUGCAACUGCUCCAUCUCCAUCAUCAUCACCAUUACCCUUCUCAUCAUAUUCUGAAGGGACUGAACCGCUUCUGUAGGAUACUAUCAUCUGCGGAGUUGGCGAUCUCCUUGAGGAAAGCAAGGGAUUAAUAAGAUAUCCUUGUGGUGGUCGGCUGCGAUGGCCUAAGACGAGUGUAUUUCCAGGAUUGUAGCCAGAGAUCAUAGGAGAGUGAUACGAAUGCUCACCAUCUAUCUCUUUCCUGUGAAAGUUUCUGUGGCAGUUGCAGGCUGAGCACCUGAGGGCCUCGAGGGUGCCUUGUUCACCACUUGGCAUGAAUUCACCGCACCCAUCUGUUGCAUUCCCACCUAUAGCUGCUGCAUGGUUCUUGAGGCAUUCCUUGUAACUCACCACUUUCUUGAAGGGGCUUUGGUCCUCCAGCAGGAUUGAAGGGGUAUUUCCACCGGAGGUUGGUUGGGAUACUGAUGAAGUAGCUAUAAUGCGGCCAUUUUCUGCUCUUGCAUAACCGCCAUUUCUUGAGAAUGGAAUGUCCUUUUGUGGGCUUGAGUUAUUCAUCUCUUUUUCUCUCUCCAUAAUAAUAAAUCAAUGUGUACUUUUUCUGGACGUUAUCAAUUCAUCCUCGCUCUCCCUCUUUCAAAGUUGAUGCGAAGGCCUAUAAUCUUUAAAAGAUGCAAACUUUUCUGUUUUUGCUCUCUGUAAAUUGGUACAAAAGAAACAAAAGGACUGAGGCGGUAUCUGUAGAAGUGAAAUGUAACAGAACAAGGCUAAGAUGAAAAUGAUCAAUGAAAGCGGACCUAUAAAAAUUCAAGAAAUUAAGCGAGCAUUGAAUACUCAGUGGAAGAUGUCCAGCUUAAAUGUUUCUGUUGGCAGGAUACACAUUCAGUCUGCUUUUAUGGAGAGAGAAGGAGCUAAUGCGAUAGAAAAUUGAAGAAAUAGGUUGUAGAGGGUUAUUUUGCAAGAGAAGCAACGAGCUAGAGCUUAUGUAAAAUAUUGCUGAUUGAAUGAGUGGCGGAGGGUUGAAGUGAUUAAAGUGAUUAAUGGUGGAUAUUGGUUCUAACUAAUUUAUUUUGAGAGAGAGAGUUGCAGGGGGAUAAAUGUGAAGACAGAGUUUUAGGGAUAGAAUUAAAAAUUGAGAAGACUUGCUUUGCUUCGCUUGCACUUGCAACCAUCAGCUACCUUUUAAGGCUGGGCAGUAAAAGUGUGCCAUUUAUUCUGAUGUAUCAUUUAGGUUGCUGUUAUUACUUGUUACUUGUUACUUGUUACUUGCAAGUGCCAUGCAGAGGAAAAGACAAACAAUUCUAAUUAAGCAACUGCGAUGCGAUGUAUCAUUUUGGUCAGUAUUGUGAGUGCAAUUAUACAUGUUAUAAGUUCCAUAACUUGCUGCCUGCAUUGUGUCCACCUAUUGUAGUAAAACUAGUUUAAAGUUUAAAUGUUAAUAGAUAGAUAAAGUACAGUAUAUUGCUUUACUUUUUUAAAAUUAAAGCUUUUUGGUUUGGUUUAUUAGUUCUGAAUUGGUGGCUUGGUGCAUGAUUUGAGCUUUUUGAAUUCCCAGAGCUAACAAAACUCAGGAACUUAACUGCAAACAUGGAAGGUGAGAUCUUUGUCGUGACAGGUCAUGGCCAUGGCCAUCUCCAUCCCUGCAUCCAGCUCUGCUACCGUCUCGCUAAACGGAAUUUCCAUACCACUCUGGUUAUCUCUUCCUCUCUCUCCUCAGCCAUUCCUUCCUCUUUCAUCCGAAACCCCCUUGCCUGCGUUCUUCCUAUUGCUCCCUCUGGCCCUCUCAGCCCGCAGUCUGCCCACGACCUCCACGCACACCUCGCUAACAGGUGCCAUAUUUCAGAUUCGCCUCGGCCUCUCUGCGCUGUUGUUGACUUCCAAAUGGGAUGGACAAAAGUAGCAUUUUGGAAAUUUGGUAUUCCUGUGAUAAGCCUGUUUACUUUUGGCGCGUGUGCUGCCGCCAUGGAGUGGGGAGCUUGGAAGGUCCAAGCUGGAGACCUUCUGCCCAGUGAAGCCCGUUUAGUCCCUGGAUUACCUCAAGAGAUGGCGAUUACUGAUUCCGAUCUUAAAAGAAAAGUGUUUAUGCCUGCAGGCAAGGGUAGACGGGGUGCACCUAGGCCCGGCGACCGGCCUCCAUGGGUCCCUGAAAUUGAAGGCUCAAUCGGCUUGAUUUUUAACACGUGCGAUGACAUUGACGGUCUGUUUAUCAAAUACAUGGAGGAUCAGACGGGCCUUCCGGCUUGGGGUGUAGGCCCACUCUUGCCGGAAAUAUAUUGGGGUUCAACAUCGUCGGAUUCUAUUCGCGACGGUGUAAUUGGGGAUCAUAAACGGGAAUCCAAUUUUACGGAGGAUGAGGUGUUCCGAUGGUUAGAGUCGAAGCCACGUGGAUCAGUACUGUACGUCGCUUUUGGCAGCGAGGUGGGUCCUACUAUGGAGGAAUAUCAACAAUUGGCCAGCGGAUUAGAAGAGUCGACCCGCCCAUUUAUAUGGGUCAUACAAACGGGAAAAGGCUAUGAUAGCUGUGGGUUAGACUUGGAGACGCGGGCGGGAGAUCGAGGUUUGAUAAUAUAUGGAUGGGCACCACAACUGCUUAUACUGGGCCACAGGUCAGCGGGCGGAUUUCUAUCACAUUGCGGGUGGAAUUCCACUAUGGAGGCAAUUGGGGUCGGAGUGCCCAUCUUGGCUUGGCCCAUUAGAGGAGACCAAUACUAUAAUGCUAAGUUGAUAGUCAGUUAUCUGAAGGUAGGGUAUAGGGUCGCUGAUGAUUUAGCAGAAAUGGUCAACAAAGAUGACAUAGUGAAAGGAAUUGAAAAGAUAAUGGAAGAUAAAGAGAUGCAUGAGAGGGUUUUGCUUAUCAAGGCAAAAUUGAAAGAUGAUGGUUUUCCACCAAGUUCUGAAGCUGCAUUGGAUGCUUUCAGGGAAUUCAUCAUCAAUCCAACAAGCAAUUAAUUACUUUCCAAAAGUACUGUCCUUUCUUUAUGUAAAAUUAACAAUGGAUUGUGCUCUACCUGUUGCUUAUAUUCUUUAUAUUCAAUCUGCGUAGGCUCCAGACUGUUCUUAUAUUUGAAGUUAAGUAUGGGACUAUUGUAAAUAGUUAGUUCGGCCUUGACAGACCAAACCGAUCAAAGUCAAUAAAACUGAAAUUUUUUAACACCUAAAUCAAAUACAACUGAUUUCUUUAUAUAAUCAAGGACUGGUCCGAUUUGAUUUCUAGUUUUGAUUUCCUUUUAGAAGCUUCAUAGAACAACCUACUUCAUAUAGAAUAGACAUCUAAACAUCUAACCUCUGUACGGUUUAGACGUUUCUUGCAAAACAAGUAGAUAAAGUUUUUGAGGUAAUGGUAGCCUCUCUGUCCUUUUCCAUUAUCCCGCUAAUGUAAUGGUGUCUCAUCAAUUUUAAUUUUCACACACUAAAAUUGCUUACUUUAUCAAAAAGCGUUAUCUUUUGCCAAGCUCAACCGCUUGGAAAUUGUCACUAGAGCUUUGCUUUUGAAACUUCCUUGUUAUAUCCAGCAGUGGAGUCAUUUAUUUCUACUUAAAUGCUUGACAUAUGAGUACAGCUAUUUCAGAAUUGCUAAAUCAGAAAUAAUUGAUCAGCCAAAUCACACAGUGCUCAAAUUUGUAGUAUUGCCAAUGCAGUUAGGAAGAACCAAGAGAUUAAGCUGGUCACAUACCAUGUUUGUUACAUAACAUAGCUUCAGUAAGAUUUCCCAUCAGUCCGGCUUCUUCAGGUAUGGAACCUAAAAGCUUAUUGGUAUACAGGCUCAUCACAAGUAGCAAGUAGGAGAAGUCCAGAAAAUUUAGGAAAGAUUUUCAUUCAGGAAGGAACGGUUCCAAAGGACAAAGACGGAUGCAAAAUAAAUCAAGCCGCAAAGAAAGUGGAGAUGCCAAGGCUCAGUAUCCAUCUUACAAGAGUCCAAUUGCUACUUCAUUUGAAACAACCACACUAUGUAUAGUGCAGCAUAUAAUACAACUCUCAUUUCAGAAUGAAUGCAUUGAGGAUCAUAGCAAUGUGACAUAAAAAUAAUAACAAAGCACAAAUCAUAAUAUAAGCACAAAUUUGUAUAUGAACAACAUCUUAGAAGUAGUUACAGGAGUUUAUACUUCAGCAUUAUGGCUUUUAUUGCUCUGCGAAUGGAGAAUUAACAAAGCAGUGUAGCACAUUCAUUCGGCAGCAGUGAACUGAUAAGAAGCAUAAGAAAGGGAACCAUUGCUCCAGCUGUGAUGCACAAGUUUGGCCUUGGCAUUUUCACCUGCAGCACCCAUUGCCACAUGCAAUGGGUAAAAGUGGUCUGGAUGAGGAUGAGCCUUUUUUGCCUGAGGUGCCCUCGCAUAAAAGUGAUUCACAUCUUCGUAUCUGCACAAAAGUAACUAGCAAAGUUGAAACUAUAUAUGGAAGCGAAUAGGUCCAAUAGUCUAAAACUUGAUGCCCUCGAGAAGUAGAGAGCUGCUGAAAAUCUGAAAGAAGAAAUUGAUCUAAAUUGACUUGGCAUCCUCGUGUGCAAAACUCUUACUCAGAAACAGAGUUUGAAGUAUUGACUAUCAAACGCGUAUUCAAAAAGGGCAUGAUUAUAGACUAUUAGAAAGUUAGAAAGGAAGACAAGUUGAAAUUUCAAAUGAGGUAGUAGCAGUAUCUUUAAGCCAAAAUUAAAAUGAUACAAACAUUAUUUGAGACAAAAAUGAUGUACCUUCCUUGAAGAAGAGCAUCUUUAAGCCAGGCAUCAAACUGCAAAGCCCAAGGAGGAGUAGGAGCGCCAUUAGGGUAAAUGUCCCUCAAGUUGUGAGUAGUAGCUCCUGAUCCAAUUAUGAGGAUGCCUUCCUCCUUGAGAGGGGCCAAUGCCCUGCCCAUGUUAUAAUGGUAAGUACCAUCUUGACCUGAUUGAAUAGAAAGCUGACAAAUUGGGAUGUCAGCCCCCGGAUACAUGAACAUCAAUGGAACCCAGGCACCAUGAUCAAGUCCCCUUUUUUUAUCCUCAUGAACAUGCUUAAAGCCGGAUGCCAAUAGCAGUUCCUUCACCCGCUUCCCCAACUCCGGAGCUCCUGGCGCUGGGUACUUGAGCUGCCAAAAUUUGUUUGAAACAUUAGAAUUAGAAACAUUUUGUUGAGCUCAAUCAGGCUUUUGUUAGAAAUUGGAAUCUUUAAACGGGAACAACCUUUGCGUUUGAGCCAUAACCAUCAAUUAUCAAUCAAUCUAAAUCAUUACACGUCUCGAUCAAAAUUCAAGCACAAAGAUAAAUGCAGUUGAAGAAAUAGAAAACGAGUACCUUGUACAUGGCGUCGGGGAAGUUAUAGAAAUCGUAGAUGGUGUUGUUGCGGUCAACGACGUUAACGGCUGGUUCACGGGUAUCCCAGUGGCCGGAGACCAUAAGAAUGGCCUUUGGCCUGUCUUUAUAUGUUUCGUGUCGCCACGAUUGGAAAAAAUGUCUUGCCUGUAUGCUCUCGUCUAUUGACAUCAUCGGCGACCCGUGAGAUAAGUAAAACGUUUGCUUCACAGCCAUUUUCCAAUCUUUCUUUUCCGACCAAAAUCAAUUCACAAGAAGAAGAGAAACCAGAGAGAAUGAAAUUGCUGGGUUCUUUUUCAAAAUUUUGUUUAGAAAUCAAUCGAAUUUAUAGUUUCUAACAUAAAAAACCAGAGCUGACCGUCGUUACCAACUCACCAUUAUUAAUCUUAAUUGUUAAUAUUUAAUAAAGUAUAAAAACAAAAAAAUGUAAUACAAAUUAUUUAAAAUGAUUUUAAUUAAAAUUAAUGAAGUCAAAUCGAUAACGUAGACUAAAAGAGGAUGUUAGUUAGUCGCGUCAAAUAAGGGAACAUCCACGUCAGAUCAGCGGAUUUUAGGUAUUGAUUUCUGUCGAAUUAAACCUUUUCUAAAAAAAAAAAAAAAAAAAAAAAAUUUAAAGAUUUUAAUUAAAAUUAAUGAAGUCAAAUCGAUAACGUAGACUAAAAGAGGAUGUUAGUUAGUCGCGUCAAAUAAGGGAACAUCCACGUCAGAUCAGCGGAUUUUAGGUAUUGAUUUCUGUCGAAUUAAACCUUUUCUAAAAAAAAAAAAAAAAAAAAAAUCUAUAAAUAAAAUUCUAGGUGGAUUACAAUAAUACUGAUCAACACACUACCAAACACGCCAGUAUGCACAUGCCCAGAUACCGCCAUUCCAUGAUAAUACAUCCAAUAAAAUUUUUUUGAAACAUUCAAUUUUUUAACCAUUUAAGCAAUGAUCAAUAAGCACAUUUUUUUUGCAAGUUAAAGCAUUCAAUUAUAUUUUAUUUUAUAAGUUUAAAAGUUUAGUAAAUCAAUAUAAAAAUUGAGUGCACCUCUAGAUUUUUCUUAUAAAAUUUAAGUGUUAUGCAUUUAAUCUUGAAGGAGGCCAUUCAUCGAAUUUCUAACAUUCAAGAAUCAAGAAUAUCAUGCAUACAAGUGAGACCGUAUGCACUCGUUAUUGUAAGUGUGGCUAAAACAUGCAAGAGCAAGACACUCGCAGUCUGGACUCUGGAGUCUAAGGUGCCGCAAGCAACCAAAAUAGGAGAGCCAGAAAAAGAUGUAAUCCCUGAUUAUUUAACAAUCCAUCUUUGAAAAUAAUGCAACCCGAAAGCUAGCUCCCGCAGAUAUCUCUUCUAGAAAGACCCUCUCCUAACUUGGAAGUUCUCAUUUCCCUUUCAAAACAGGAAUCACGAUCUCUACAAGGUGAAAAUGUAGAACAGGCGUAGAAGAAGUAGAAGCACUCUUUAAAUUAGAUUCCGGCAUUCUACCAUAUUCUCCAGUGUCAUAUCAGAAUGCCUCCCAUUUCCACACAGACUGUAAAAUAGCACCCAUAAUUGAGGAUAUCACACAGAGCCUGGCAAUCAACCUAACAGCAAAUGAGUUUGCCAUGAAUUUUACAGAAACAAAUUUCCUAUUACAUUACAUGCUUGUUAUGUAUGUCAUCAAACAAAUUUCCUAUAUGAAAUCAAGCUGGGAGUUGCAAAUGUGUACAAAAAUGGUAAAUAAAAGUCAUGUGAUGUAUGAAAAUAGUAUCAAUAUUAACAAAAGAAUUCACUUCUUUCAGGUGAUGUCAGGCGCAAAUACCACCUAGCACCAAUUAUCAUGCUAGAAUGAUCCACACAAUUUCCAGUCAUUCAUUAGGGCUGCACAACUCAUUUUAGAGGCAAUCAUCCAGCCACAAAAAAGCAGGCACAGAGGCUUUCCCUCAAAACACUUUAUUUUGCAUAAGACAAAAAAAAAAAAAAAAACAAACAAAAUAGAGAUUAUUUUACCUCAAGUCCUCUUCAAUCUCUUUCUCUUGGAUGCUUUCUUUGGAUUUUUCAAUGAUUCAGUAGCAACAGCAGCAUAAGCUCUAAGUUUCCCAAGAAUCCUCCUCUCACUCAAACGUAACAUCAGAGAAUGGUACAACUUUCUUUCUUCCUUGCUACAAGUUUUUGCAGCUUCAAUAUCAUCCUUCAUUGAACUUAAACCGUAAAAACUCUCCCUUCUGUCAGCAAGCCACAGAAGAGCACUACAAACACUUUUUGUCAGCAAGAAACCUUUAUUAGCUUCUGACCUUUUAAGCCAUGUGAUAUUGCAUUUUUCUGACAAAAUCAUGCUGAUGGAUUCCUUAUAGUUAUUUGCAGUUGAAACAGCUAGAUCCAAUUUGCAAUAUUCGUCCUCUUGUAACAACAUUAUAUACAAUAAAAUCAACAACUCAAUUUGUGGUUCUCCAUUACAUGAGAUCUCAAAGUAUUCAGCAUUCUGACUAACACAUCCAGAAUAACCUGAUUUUCUCCAAAGGGACAGCCUUGCUCUGCUAUAACGGCCAGAGAACAGUGAUGAACUCCAUUUAAGUACCAACUCCAAAUCAAUAUUGACAAUGUCAUAUGGAUUAUCUGGCUCUGUGAAACCAUAUCUAUGAAGCAAUGCAGCAUUACCUACUAACCCAUAUGUAUUAAAGACCUGAGAUGAGAUCAAAAGAGUAUUAAAAAGAACAGAUAUGGAAGAGCUUUUUCCUACAUCAAGACAUUGGCCCUACAGUAAUCGUAGAAUUACUUAAAAUGAAAAAAUCAUUUCAUAAGGCAGUCAAAGUAGAGCACAAUACCCUUCAUGACAAGCAGAAAUGAACAGUUUCUGUUCUUGCAGUUAAGAAAAUUAAACACCAUCAAGGCCCCUGUCUAGUAAGCAUUCCUAUUAGAGGCAAAUUGAUAUUGAUUCAGGUAUGUCUCAGAGUAGAAGUAACUGGGAAAACUGAAUUCUUAGUUAUUCAAUCAACGACCAACCAAUUUAUCAUUGACACUAAACCAACAAAUCAAAUAUAAACUUCAGGUUACUCUGGAAUUGCUCCGUUACAUUACAAUGCCAAGUACAUGUAGUUCAAAAGUUCCAUAUGUUAGUUUCAAAUGAGAGAUCUGUGUUCUAAUUUUCAAGUGUAAAUGUCAACACUCAAAUCAUCCAAGACCCAUAUUUCCUGAAUCAUGUUAUUAAUCAAGAAAACAGAUUCCCCCAAUUAUUCAAAGAAAUGAGUUUAUGAAACUGAAACCUUAAAUUCCAGAUAUUAGAAAUGCUAAAAUAGGAAUAACACUUGAUAUUAUAGAAAUGCCAGGAAUAUAUUAUAUUUGUAAAUCAGAAACAUAGGUGCAUUCUGGGGAAGAAAAAUAAACACAUAAAGACAGAAAGAAGAGAAUAGUGACCUCAGCUCCGGCCUUGACAUCUUUCACCAUUAUCAUUUCCAACAAUCUGGGAUCGUCUAAUUCGCAUCCCAGUGCACUUGAUGGUUCCUUAUCAACAGUAUUUUCAGUAUAACAACCAUUGGUGUUGCUUUUGUCAUCAUCAUCAGAUUUAGAAUCAGAAGACCCCGAGGUGAAGUGCACAUCCUCUGCUCCAGUCUUGUGAUUAAAUCUGUAUAUGUUGGAGGCAGAACAAAGAUUAAAGGAAGAAUAACUCUAUAUAUCGAUCAUGGCAAUAAACUACCAGUGGUAAGAACCUAUCCAUAUCCUAAGACACUUGACAAAUCAUCCACGACAGCACUAGAAUGAUAAUACGAGAAUUAAGCGCCUUCAGAAGUAGGCACACUUACAGGUCUGCCAAAGGAACCAUCCCAGACCCAUAAUAGUCAUCUAUCUCAAAAGAACGAGAAGCAAUAAGACUCCUUGCAGCAAAAUAGUUCUCAGGACCAAAGAAAUGUGGAACAAAAUGUCCCGUAUCCACGAGAGGCAGUAUAUUCUCUUUCCAAUCGUCAUAUAUAAGGGCUUUGUCUUCUUUCACAACCUGCCUACAAGAGUAGAAGAAAUUACAAAGGCAGUGGCAUUGCGAAAUGAUGCAAAUAUUUGCUAGCCUAAAUAAACCAAAAAAAUAGCGCUAGUAAUACUAGAGAGGGCAUAUAGAAGAAAAGUUGCAAAUUUAGAGUGUAUUACCUUGUGGAGCUCAGUGCCGAAAAGAAGUUGAUCGACUUCAUCAAGAGUCCAAACCAAGGGCAAGCUCUCUCUGUCCGGCAAGAGCUGAAAGUAGGCAGCCCAGGGCGAGUCGUUCCCCAAGCUCUUUUCAUACAUAAGCGCCACAGAGAGUCCCAAACAACCGCCCAAACCGGCGGCUUCGAUAAUGUCGCACGCUCCACUGUUUUUGAUGGUCAGACAGGCGGACUUUGGAAUUGUGGCAACCACCUCUCCUUCCCUCAAAUCUCUCAAUGCUUUCACGGAAAUGCCUUGUUCGGGAGUGUGGAUGAACUCGAGAGCGUCGCUGCUCCAUCGGAUGCCUUGGGAGAUCAUCCACCGCUUGAAAACCCUCAACUGCCUGCUUGUUCAUUUAUUUUAGCAAGAUUGUUGAUCAGGGAGAUGAACGGAUAGAAAAGAAUUCGAGUUGGAAAGCAUUCUUACCUGGUAGCCAUGAGUCUGUCAACUUGAGGCACAGUCCGGCGAGUGCUGAAGCUCUCUUUCAUAGGGUUGUUGUGUUUUACUGAGUCGGAUUUUGAUUUUAAAAAAAAAAAAAAAAAAAAAAGAAAAAAAGAAAAGAGAGAUGGAAACCACGUAUCUUUAUCUCUAUUUAUUUAUUUUUUCUUUAGGAAAAACAAUAAACAAUGUUUAAUAGUAAUAAUAACAUAAACUAACAUCAUUUAAAGUUAUUUUAUAGUUUAGCGAAGUCGGUUUGGUUAAUAAAAGAGAAGACGGGCUCGAUGCCUCUCCAAUCAACAAAACAGUCCAUGGGCUGAAAGCUUAGCAGCCCUAACAAGAAAUUGGCGAACUCGCAAGCACUUCGCAAUUUUAUUGGCAGUUUAAACGAGAAAGGGAACUGCGCACGGACACAAACCGUAAAAAGACACACCAAGUGAGAGAGAGGUGCAACGAGGGCGUACUAUUUGGUGGAGAGAGUAUCGGAGAAGGUAAUGAAGCUUCUCGCACUUUUUAUUUUUGUUUAAUUGUGUUAAUUUCUCAAAUUUGAAUUGUGUAAAUGUUUUUUUUUUUAAAGAAAGAUCUAGGAAUUGGUUAAGUGCUGCUUGAUUCAGAGUGUCUGAAUUUGUCAUUGGCAUCGUUUUUUUCUCUUUUCUCGGUGAUUUAUUUCAUCUUCCUACUGUUAAUUGUUUAGGUUAUUUGAACGUACCUUGCGAAAGUUGGUUCCUUUCUUAGGUUGUGUAAAACUAUAAUCAUUAGUUCAGAUUGUGUAAAACUAUAAAUAUAUUGACCUUUAAUUUCUCAUCUUUUUAUAAUUAUCGAGUUUUAUUUUUGUGUGUGUUGUUAUCUGCACUUCAAUUAUUUCAUUCCUCCUGUUCUCUUCUGGGUAAAGAAUCUGUGUCUUACUUUUAUUUUUUUCCGAUUAAGCUUUCUGGACCUCUCACAUAUUUUCAUUCUUUUUUAAUUUUAAAGCUUUAUAAUUUAUACUUCUUUUAUUUUCCAUGUGUAUUCCGUUGCCUCAUAAAGUUUAUUUCUUGUUUUGCAGUGGCAAUUGGCAAAUGCUCUAUUUAUCAGAGGUUAAAAGACCGGAUAGUCUUUUCUGCGCUUAGCAUUUCACUUCCUACUAGUUUAAUUUAGUCGUAUAGUUAUAUAUUUUAUUGUCUGCAAUGAGUAAUGCUCCAAAAAGAUCUCACGAUGAGGGUGUUCACUCAUCUUCAUCAAAGUACCCGCACGAAGAAUCAGGCUCAUAUCCUAAGCUGACAUCUGGGAUUUCAACCGAAUACCAUCCUUCCUAUGAGAUAGCUUCAGAUGCUCGGAUUGCAAAAAUUCCCCGUACUGAAUCUCGCGAUGCUGAUAGGAGAUCACCUUUGCAUUCAAUAUAUCGAGUGUCUUCAUCCUCAAAUGAUUUGCAUAUGGAUGCUCAUUCUGUUGCUUCUGAAACCAGGCUGGAAUCAAGAGAUUCCAAGGACAGCAGGGACCACAGAGUUGAAAGCCGAGAUCUGAGGACUGAAGCAAGAGAGAUGCACAGUGAGGCAAAGAGGGAUUCCCAAAGUUCCAAAGUUGACAAGGAUUCAAGAUUUGAGAGUAGAGCAGAUGAUAACAAGGAAAUAAAAUAUGAGAAGGAUGCUUAUAAUGAUCCAAAGAAUGACGUAAAGAUGGAAAAGGAUGGCUUUAGUGUGACAACUAGUCAGUUAAAUUGGAAAGAAUCAAAAGAAUAUCAUAGAGGAAAGAGAUAUACUGAAUUCCCUGGUGGACAUGUGGAUCCGUGGCAUAUGUCACGCGGUAACUCCCUAGGCCCAGUUGAGAUUGUGAAGGAAGGCUCAACAAUUGAAGAGAGGGAUUAUGCAGAAACACAUGAGGCUGUUGGUGAGAACAAAGUUGAUUUCAAAGGUGAGGAUAGAUUUAAAGAUAAAGAUAGGAAAAGGAAAGAUGUAAAACAUCGAGAAUGGGGAGAUAGAGACAAGGAAAGAAGCGAUCGUAGGAGCAAUCUUCAAGUAGUUAAUAAUAGUGGGGAGGGAAAAGAAUCAGCUAGGGAAGAGAGGGAAGCAGAGAGAUGGGAGAGGGAUAGGAAGGAUCUCUCAAAGGACAGGGAAAGGCAAAAAGAGAGAGAAAAGGAUCAUACCAAGAGAGAAUCAUGGAAUGGAGUAGAGAAAGAGGUUCUGGACAAUCAGAAAGAAUCGGGGGAUGGAUCUGGCAGAGUGACAGAGCAGGAAAAUCCAACUUCGGAGCAGAAGAAACAAAAAGAUCUUGAGAGCUGGAAAAAUGUUGAUAGAGAAGCUAGAGAUAGGCGGAAAGAAAGAGAUGCUGACAUGGAAGCAGAUAGGCCUGAGAAGCACAGCAGGUUGUAUGACAAAGAAUCAGAUGAUGGAUUUGCAGAUGGUGGUGAUGGGCCUGCAGAAAGGGAAAGGGAAGUUUUUAACUAUGGAGUUCAGCAACGGAAGAGGAUGCUUCGGCCCAGAGGCAGUCCUCAAGUGCCAAAUCGUGAGCCCCGUUUUAGGUCUCGUACUCAGGACAAUGAAGGGUUUGUCUUAGUUUCUCAUACGUGGAUUUGUUUUGAAGCAUUUUUGCCAGAUGAUUGAAUUUGCUAUUUGUGUAUCAUGUAGAUAUGUACUUUAAUAUACUCAAUUUGCACACAUUGCCUGUUAUAAUCAAAGCUAGGUUUGGAAUCCUUAUUGGUUCACUUAAUGCUUCCUCCCCCAGAAGUCACAGGAAUAAGCCACAAGUAUUGGAACUUUUAGGUUUUAAAAUAUAGUGGGAUGUGAGAAUAACCUUUGAGAAUUUUGUCAUAAGGAAUGAAAACGUAUUUUAUUUCCUUUGGAGUAUUUGUUAUGACUCAUGGUUUGAAAGCAAUCAUAUCAUUUUAUUUCUAAACAAAUUCCAUAUGGAACUAACUUACAAAGUAAUUGCAUUGGUUCAUUUUUCUUGUUAUCAUAACACUUGUUCUAAGAGUUACUUCUUCACCAUGUUUGUAUUAUAGCUAGAAUGGUAUAUAUAAGUUUACGUUAUAAUUAACUGUGAAUAAUUUUGAAGAGAAAGAUUGCUGUUUUUCAAAUGUGUAGUUACCAUGUGCAUUGAAUUUCAGAAGUUCAUGUUCGCAUUCUUGAAUUUGUAUACUUUAGAGAUUAAUGACUUGGUAUAGAUUAUCUCUCUUUCUUCUCAUUUUAAAUGUUUGAUUAACUCUAUUCUUAUCCUUUACCACUUUAUUUUGCAGGUCCCAAGGUGAGCUGUUAUAUAUCAUUUGAUUGGGCCAGAACUUUAUUUGCAUGAAGUGGUUAAUAGGAGUUUGUGAAUCGUUGUCCUGAUAUUAGUUUUAUCAUAAAUUACUUUUGUCUGUACAACUCCAAGCCUCCAAUUUCAUGUCUUUCAAAUUAAAUUUUUGACAUAUAUUUCUAGUUUUGGUACUAAAAUUAGUUUGGAUGUAAGCUAAGAUAAAAGUAACUUUGCCCGGGGAAGGUUUCAAGCAUGUUGCAAUUUGGAGGCGACUAUUUGAUAAUUGGCACUGCAGAUGAUCUCACUCAUAUUUUCUUUUCCCGUUGGAAGUCAGCAUGCUAAUUUAUAUAGUCAUUAUCAUUGUUGAUAUGAAGGUACUAAGCAAUUAUGAAAACUAUAUCAUCACAAGCCAAAUUUCUUAAAUAUGCUGAAAAUUUAGUUGUUACCUUUUUCCAUAAUGUUUUUUUUUUCUUCUCUAAAUAGACAUUACCUUAUGUGAUUUCCUUGAGCUUGUUAAUAAGUUGCUUAAUUAGCUUUUCAGAGAAGUAGCAUAACAUCACCAGAACUCCUUGGAAGGAUAAUUUGCACCUAUAUAUUUUUUUUCUUGUUCAAAAAAAGUCCUCAUCUAGUGUCUACUAGUGCUUGGAUUUUUUGGUCACGAUACGUGGUGCGUACUGUUCUGAACUAUGCUUAUCAUAGUAAAUAUUGAUCAAUUUGCACUUGAUGAUGGGUAGGGGAAAAAGAAAAUUUGCAAGCAUUAGAGUUUUAUGAGUUACAUAGUUCCUUUGUUAUAACUGUUAAAUUCAAUAGUUGUUGGUGCUUCAGGCAAAUCCGAGGUGUCCUCCGUUGUUUAUAAAGUUGGAGAAUGCAUGCAAGAUUUGAUAAAGUUGUGGGAGGAAUAUGAAUCAUCUCAGGUUGAAAAAAAUGGUGAAAGUACUCUUAACAGUCCCACACUUGAAAUUAGGAUACCAGCAGAGCAUGUUACUGCUACAAAUCGCCAAGUAAGAGCCUGCUGUUUUAUGUGUCAUGUUGCUGAUGCUUUUCUCAUGCUUAUUCUAUAAGCAUGCUUUUUUAACCUUUUCAUAAGAGGGGAGAAGUGCUGGUAUUUUUAUGUAACAGCAGCUAUGGUUGUUACUCUUGCAUAUUCAGGAGUCUUCCUUUGGAAUGGCAUUUAAUCUAAGGAUCCUUUAAAUUCCCUUACAUAAUGGCUCUUUUCUAAUUCAACCAAUGAACUAUUGUUCACCAAGUAAAGACUGACGUAAACUGUUUGUUGCAUGUUCCUAUUCCUUGUCCUUAUGUUUGUGGUUCUUUUGCUCUAAUCUUCAAUAGUAGCAUUUUUGUUUAUAGGGUUGCACUGGUUUGGCCAUCAAUUGAAGUUGCUCAAUCUGUCUCCUCCUGCUUGCUCUUUACUUCUUAUAACCAUGUUUAUGCAUCCGUUUAAGUUAUUUGAGCUCAUCAAUUGCAGGUAAGGGGUGGCCAGCUAUGGGGUACAGAUGUAUACACAGAUGACUCUGAUCUUGUUGCUGGUAUGUGGUGAUACGAUGCAAUUUGUACAAUUAAUUUUUCUCUAGUCUGUUGAUUGUUGAUAUUACUGGGAUACAGAAACAAUCACUUGUUGCAACUUGUUGCAGUUCUCAUGCACACAGGUUACUGCCGUCCCACUGCUUCUCCUCCUCCAUCUGCCAUUCAAGAGUUGCGUGCUACUAUCCGAGUAUUGCCUCCACAAGAUAGUAAGCUCCUUUAAUCUGGCUUUUCUGCCUAUUUGGAAUUUUGGGAUUUCAAAUUGGAUCAGAACAUCCAUUUAUAACAUGGUAAUCCGUGGACAUGAUUACUGGUGUGAGUCAUGGAUUUCUGUUGGAUAAAUUUGCCACAUCUAUUUAUAUGUUCAUUGUUUUAAUAAUUUAAACAAUGAAAUUUCAAUGCCAAGUGUACAGAAUAUUGGUUAUUUAAUUGAUUUUUGAAAUCAGGAAUACACUAUGGAAGGUUAUAUUCCGUCAAGGAUCAUGUCUUAUUAAUGAACUGUCUAAUGAUCAGAAUCUUUCUGGCAUCAAUCUGUAACGAUUUUUUUUCCCCCGUUGGCUACUUGGUUUCAUCUUAAGAAUAAGAAAACUUUGUAUGAAAUUGAUAACAAGGUUGCAUUGUUUCUGGCAAAAGAGGAACUUGCAUGCAUGUGGUUCCCCUAAUGAUUUUGAAAUUCAUUUACCUCCCUGUGGUUUACUUUAUUGGUUUCUUGGUCAUCAUUUUCCUUUUACAUUGGUAUGCAUUUUUCACUUGUUAACACUCAAUCUCAAUAAUGUUUCAUUUUUCACUUGUUAACACGCAAUCUUAGUUAUUUGUUAUACGUGGAAGGAAAGAGGAUUAAGCAUAAUAAAGCGAUUGAUCUGCCAACCCCAUGCCUCUCUUACCUAUUUUCUUCCCAUGAUGGAGAUCACUAAGAAAGAUCGAAGUUUCAUAUGUUUUUGGGUAUUUUUUUUUUUUUUUUUUAGUUUAGGUAUACUGUUAAAAAGAAAUUAAGGUUUUAAGCCAAGUGAACCAAUUCGAGUAAAUGUGCACUUUCUAGGCCACAGGGUUGUAGUUGGAAGUGCUGUAAUAAAAUUUCUGACAUCUGUUGCCUUUCUCGCAGACUUGAUGAUAGUUAAGCUUUACAGUUGUGUUUUUCAUUUAUAUCUCUGAUCAAGUUCAGAGUAGAACAGGCCAGCUUGCCGAUGUUUGAUCAUAGUUUUUAGUCCAAUAACUAUAGCAUCUAGUUAAAUUUAAGCUAGUAUCACUAAGGUCCACAUUAUUCUUUGUGCUUAACCAAGAUGGAAUUACUCUAUAAUCUUCUCAAGUGCAGUCCUAAGAGAAUCACUAUUAACACACAUCAUUGCCAUGGGCAUAAGUUGUAAGUUCGUGUUAAUAAAGAGCACAGAUGUACUCUCUAAUAAUGUUCACGGUUAAAGAAAUAGCAAAGAUGGUCUCAUCACAGACAUGAAGUAUAUUAUUGACUUCUUGUUUUGCAGUUUUGUUAAUCUUUAAGUAUGAAUUGUGCUCUGUUUUUAUGUUUUUUAAAAUCAUAGCUCGGGAACAUGUUUCAGGCUAUACUUCGAUGCUAAGAAAUAAUGUUCGUUCCCGUGCCUGGGGAGCUGGAAUUGGCUGUAGUUACCGUGUUGAGCGCUGCUGCAUUGUAAAGGUAGCAAAAUAGUCCUUGUUAUUUUCCAACACAUUUUUUCUGAAAUGUUUUCUGAAAGGUCUUGACAAGUACUAUUUGUCUUUUUAUGGAGACAAUUGCACAUAAUAAUUUUGUUUUUAUCAUCAACUUUGUUGUUAUCAUCAUAUGCUUACUGCAAAACCUGCAGUCCAUAACAACUGCUGUUUACAAUUCGAGGAAUUACGAUAACAGUUAGGCUUGUACAUCAAGUCAUGCCUUAUAUGAUUUUUUUUAUUUUUUAUUUUUUAUUUUUUAUUUUUUUUCCAGAAAGGAGGUGGAACCAUUGAUCUUGAGCCUUGUCUCACACACACAUCAGCAGUGGAGCCUACCCUUGCUCCUGUGGCUGUUGAGCGGACAAUGACUACAAGGGCUGCAGCUUCGGUAAUACUUGGAUUUAUGUUUUUACUGAAAAACCUUUAGUAUUUCUUCUGUGACUUCACUGUGUAUCAUCUUUAUCCUUUUUUUUUGCGAAAAAAAUAAAAUAGUUGUAAAACUAUAAAAGUAAUGUUUCAAUUUGCCCUAUCUGUAAGCAUAAUGGCAAGUAUAGAGUACUCAAGUUAGGUGGCUCUGCAGCCUACCACCAUCUAGCAGAAUGCAACUUUCAAAUUCUAUUUAACAUGUCGUCUCUUAUAGACAACGUAGUUAUUUGAAAGAAGCUGCUUCCUUUGUUCUCUCAAUCCUUGGCAAGCAUAGGAAAUUGCAAAGUCAAAAUGCUUUAUGCUUCUUGAAAAAAAUUACAGAACUUAGCUCAAGAAUAAAUGACAGGAAAAUCAGUAAUUGUAUUCACUGAUGUGCUUAUUGGAAACCAUUCAUUAUUUAAUCUUUUUCCCAUCUCUCAAACAUUUUUAUUGGAAAUAAUGGUGAUUGCACUAUUUUGUUUAGAAAACUAGACAGCUACUUUUGCUUCCUAUAUUCUAAGUAAUAAAAGCUAGACAUAAAGCAGACAUCUUUUUUUUUGUAAUUUAUAUUGCAAUGCCUGUUAAUUUUGUGAUGAAUGAUUGAUAUAAUAAUUCUGUACUACUAAAAUACCAGCAAGUACCUUUUUGUCCUUUUUUUCCAUCAGGGAUAUAAAUCCUAUGCCACAUAAUCGUUGCAGGCCCCCUAAAAAAAGUCGCGUGUAAAAAUAAAUAAAAUAAAUAUUGAAGAGAUUUCAAGAGAAAUAAAUAAUUCAAUGAUUUCACAACAUUAUUAUGGUUCGAGAGAAAGUACAAUAUCUACUUUGAAAUGCUGAAAAUUUGAUCAGCUCAUAUGCUGGCUUUCCUUUUUCAGAAUGCACUGCGGCAGCAGAGGUUUGUGCGUGAAGUUACAAUACAGUAUAAUCUUUGCAAUGAGCCAUGGUAUACAUGAUUCUGUUCCGUAUAGUUUUCUAAAGUUCUGUAUGGGGUUUGGAUAUCUUUGUAGAUUCUUAGAAGUAGAUUAAUAUAGUUGUGCAGCAAUGUUUUGAGCAAAGUAGACUCUUUGUUGUCCAUGUCUUCUUUCUGAUUGACAUUAAUCAACUGAAUUAAUCAGGUGGUUGUACCACUUGGUGUUACAAAUCGAUAGAUCUUCCUUUCAAUGCACCUACUUCUCUGUUUCACAGAAGGUGAUUAAUGUGAAGUUUACAACUCUAUUCCCCCUAUCAACUAUAAAAAAAAUGUAAAAGAAAAGAGAAGUUACUUUGCAAUGCAUCCUUUUAUAACAACUCUGAACUCUGUAUACUGUGAAUUUAUUUUUGUCAAUUUGAACUGAAUUCUAAUGUGUAGCCUUUAUAUUGUUAUUAAAGCUUUUAACUUAUUAAUUGUAGAUGCUGUUGAAUUUCUUAGAUUUCUGGUGCUUAUUAAAGUUAAUGACUAGUGAGGUUGAUAACCCUCCUUCCCACCUCUAAGACAUCAUUUGCAGUUUUCUAGUGAUUUUAUUUGAGUCUUAAUCCCCUCUUUUUGGAUUUCUUUUUUUCCUUCCAUAUCCAUGUCUGUUUAAUUUUACACUUGAUAAAGUAAUAUAGAUGUUGGUAACCACCUAGUCUUCCAUAUCACCUGUGGUUUUGUUUUCUUCAUUGGUGAGAGGGGUUAUAUAUAUAUAUAUAUAUAUAUAUAUAUUAUUUUUUUGUUUAGUUUUUUUUCCAUAGUUGCAUGUGUGUAUUCUUGUUUUAUCCAAACCUUAGAACACUGUACAUUGAAGUUCAACCAAAUCUUCACUAUUUAAUCAUUUUCAUGGAGAAUGGGUAUUAGUUUAAAUUGCUUCUAAAUGGUAUUUCUGUGUGUGCUGAUUAGUUUUCGUGUCUCUCUUGCUCAUGAGUUUCCGUACUUGCAAAUGUUUCCAGGAUAAAGUACAGCAUCAGUAUUGUUGCUGACAAGGGUCUGAAAAAGCCCCUGUAUACUUCUGCACGUUUGAAGAAGGGAGAAGUUUUGUAUUUAGAGACACAUUCAUGCAGGUAUCCAGUUUAUUCUUAGUGCUAUACCUAGCAUGAUGAGGCUCCAUCUGGGACUUCAGACUAAAUUUUCUUGUUCUUUUCUCGUGAAUCUUAUUAGUUUUUGUAUUGUUUUUUGCGUGUCUUCGCUCUUAGCUAUUCUACGUGCCAGAAAAGGAAAGGAAUGAAAGAUAACUUUUUCUCUCAUUUCUCUGUAUUUUGCAUAAUUGGGUUUUCCUUUCUCUCACUGCACUGAUUUGUUUCUAUCACCGGCUAGAAGUUGUCAUAUGGUGUCUCAAAGUCAGAAAUUGUUGCUUAUUUUAUUUUUACCUGCACUUUCUUUUAAACAGCUUAUCAAUUUUUAUUUUUAGAUUAUUCAUCAUUCUAUGUUGUAAGUUUUUCUUACUGAUAUCAUAUGGCUCCAUGUGGCUCUUCUUCGCAAUGUUCUGGUUUCAAAAUUUUGAGCAAUUAUCUGUAGGUAUGAACUUUGUUUUACUGGAGAGAAAAUGGUGAAGUCUACUCAAUUGAUUCAUGGACAUGAAGAGGCAGAGAAGCCUCAUAAUCACCAUCCUCAUUCCUCGAAUGGUGAAAAAAAUGACUCUGAUAACAUUCUAAUUGAUGUAUUUCGGUGGUCUCGGUGCAAGAAACCCCUCCCACAGAAGAUCAUGCGGUCUGUUGGAAUUCCACUUCCCCUUGAAUAUGUAGAGGUACUGACAUUAUGAAUUCUUCUUGCUUGUGUAGGAGUUCAACUCGAUAGCUAUUUUUGUUUAUAACAGUUAGCUGUCACUCCAGAAGGUGUUAGUAUUCAUAAUAGUGUCUCUGGGUGAAUCGAAUAUGGAUUUCUAUUUUGCAUAUCUACCAUAUAUCUGGCAUACAUUUGAAGCUGGUUUCCCUAUUAGACUUUUCAAAUGAUGUUCUAUCUAAGGUGCAGUGUUUGCAUUGAUUCUUGGCGUUUGCCCUUUUUAACAUUUUGUUCAGGAGGAGCAUGGUUCAUUAGAGUGUCAAAUACUUGAGAAAUGCUAUUUAUUAAUGCUACCCUGUCUACAAUAUUGAAAAUUGGAGAAACAUGUGUUACUGAGUCCAAUAACGGAUUCAUGAUCAUUGUAAUGGCAAUUCUCAUUUAUAUUUGCUCCAAGUUUUGGUACAAAGAUAUCAUAUAGAUUUUUUUUUUUAGGGCUGAUUUAAUUUGCUUGCAUGUAAUGUUGAUUUGAUGAGGCUCUGUGAGGUAGCAUUAUUAUUGAGAUGAUACUAGAGCUAUUCGCGCUAUUAGCAGUAAAUUAGCUGAUGUUUUCCCAAUGCCGCAUUUUCAUACCAAAAACAGGUGUUGGAGGAGAAUCUUGACUGGGAGGAUGUGCAAUGGUCACAAACUGGUGUUUGGAUAGCUAGAAAGGAAUAUACGCUUGCAAGGGUGCAUUUUCUUUCUCCAAAUUAGUUGUAACUUAAUGUGUUUCAUAUGUAUGUACAAACGGAUUACCGGUUGUGUAGUAUGAAUAAUAUUGGUUUCAAAGAAUUUCAUUUUUAAGUUGCUAGUUCACUGUUAAUUUAUUCUGUUUUCCUUUCUUACUUUAACCGACUUUCAAUUUUGUGAAAAAACACAUGAUGGACCUUAUUUUUAUUAUUAUUUUUUUAAAAAGUAUCAUGCAUCUUGCCACGCUGUAAGUGUGGUGAAUGAACUCAAACACGAGAGGAUCAUAUGAGCAGUUGAUAUUUGUUCAGCAUGGUAAAAACACGUCCGUGUUCACUCUAUUCCAACAUCACUUUCACGGCCCAAUGCAAAAUUCAUCCUCGUAAUUUACCUUAAAAAAAUUGUGGUAUUGAUAAGUUUUGUUCUAUUGAAUACUUUUAUUUAUAAAAUUAUAUUAAUCAAAUGUUUCAUUUGUAAAAAUUAUUUUAUUGAAUAUUUAAAAUUUUAAAAUUAGAUUAAUUAAACACUUAAUAAAUAGUUGAAAAAUAUAAAAAUUAUUGUUUUAAGGAUAAUACUAACCAUGUAUUGAGUGAAUAUCUUACACAUAAAUAUUAAAAAUAUCAAAAAAUGUUAGUAGUAGUAUAAAAAGGGAUACAAUAUUAGCAAAAUUUAUAACUUCAAAGGCAUAAUAGGUCACUUGUAAAAUUUAGGUUGCCAUAAUUUUUUCCAUAAAGUACAUGGAUAUAUUUAUACAUUUGGCCUUUUUUGGUAUUUUUAGUAUUUAUGUGCAAUAUAUUCACUUAAUGUGUGGUUAGUAUAAUCUUUGGAAUAAUAAUUUUCUCAUAUUUUUCAAUAUCUACUUCUUCCGUUCAAUUUUGUUUGCAUGAUUUGACAAAACACGCAUAUUAAGAACUUAGUCAAAAAAAAAAGUUAUUUUACUAUUUUUUAUCCUUAACUCAUUGAGAUAUUAAUAAAAAGUAUUUCAUUCAAUGAAUGAUCAUAAAUUGUUUACAUAUAUAAGUUUAGAAACCUUGCACACUUUUUAAGACAUCCAAAAAAGAAAUAAUAAGCAACAAAAUGGGACGAAGGAAAUAUUAAGUGUUUAAUUGAUCUUAUUUUAGAAGUUUGAAUAUUUAAUGGAAUAAUUUUUGCAAGUUGAAGUAUUUAAUUUAUAUAAUUUUAUAAAUUGAACUAUUCAACAGGUCAAAGUAAAAAUUGAGGAUGCAGUAAGAUUUCUUACAUAAAGUACAAAAAUGGAAUUGCCUACCAAAAAAUGUUAUGAGUAGUAUAGAAAGGAUAUAAUAUUAUCAAAAUUUGUAAAUUCAAAAGCAUAAUAAAUCACUCACAAAAAUUAAAAAUUUAGGAUGCUAUGAGAUUUUUUCUAUAAAAUAUAUGGAUAUAUUUAUAUAAUUGGCCUAUAGAAAAUAGUAAUAUAUGAAUUUGAAAGUAAAAAAAAAUGCGACGAUCGAAUUAUUUAAUUUUAACGAGUAAAAGAGUAAAGUUCUUAAUAUAAUUAACUUGUACGGGUCUGAUCACAAUUCCCUUCUAUAUUGUCUCCGGAUGCUAAUAAAUGAAAGGGAUUUCUUUGCUGUAAGCCUCUAACGGCAACCCAAAACCCUAGAAUCCAAAUAGUUACCGCUCAUUGAGCAAAAACCAGGAAACAUAGCUGCCCAAGAAUACGCCAAAAGGUGAUUUUUCAUUCUCUUUGCAGGUUUUUUUUUUUUUUAAUUUUUUUAACUCGUGUUUCUUCAAUUACAAUGUGGUAUUACUGUGAUUUUUUAGUUUUGUUUUUUCCCUUCUUUCGAACCAUUGUUUUGCUGCUAAGUAGCUUUGUAGAAAAUGAAAAUGGAGGGACACAGAGAUAUGUGAUGAUCCCUUCGAAUUUUGUAUCGUAGAAUAUUUUGAUUCUGCAUUUUGUUUAUUUGAGGAUGAGCAAAUUUGUUUGUUUUUGAUAAUCGGUUUAAGGUCAUAUUUUCACAAUUAGAAAAUACCAAGGACACAAUUAUGAUUUAUCGUUCAAAAUUCAAAAUCUAAACUUGGGUUAAUUAAAUUUGAUUACCCAGAAAUUGACGUUUAAUAAAUAGCUACUACACUAUUUUCAGGGAACGUUGAUGAUUUUCAUUAUAAUCUUACUGGCUUUUAAAUUUGUUUUUAUAGAGAAUUGGAAUGAUGUUGGGCUUUUUGUUUUAUUUUGGAGAAGACAGUUGGAGACAAAAGGUUGCCACUGAGAACUAAAAAACAGUCAUCAUGUCUGUUGAUCCUACUGCACCCAUGACUUACGUGGAUGACGAUGCUUCUUCGGGUUCUGGGGAUGAGGGAAACAUGUUGGAUGGACACAACAAGCGUCAGUCGGUGACACCCUCAAGUGCUGGUCGUCGUAAGAGGAGUCGUAAGGCUACUGGUGAUGCUAUUGUUGAUGCUAUGCUUGAAAUUGCAGCUGCUUCCAAAAUGAGGGCCGCUGCAAUCAUGAAGAAUGAGGAUCGCUUUUCUAUAAGCAAAUGCAUCAAAGUCUUGGAUGAGAUGCAAGGUGUUGAUCAAAGGAUUUACUUUUUUGCCUUGGAUUUAUUUGAGAAUCCCAAUGCCAGGGAGACAUUUAUAUCUCUCAAGAGUGAGAAACGGUUACCAUGGUUGCAGGGGAAGUGCAAUGCUGCCUCUAGUUGAAUAGUUUAAAACUUAAAAGAGCUUAUUAGUUGUGUGCAUUUUUGAAGUUCCAUAUUCUGGGUAUGGUCUGUAUGGCCAUAGUACUCUAGAGGAACUCAUGCAUUUUGUAUAGUACUCUGGAGGAACUCAUACAUUUUGUAACUAGUUUUACUUUAUGAUCAGUGGCAGUUUCAUCAGUUUAAGGCUCAAAUGUUAGAGACUGCUGUUGCUUUCCCUCUUUUGGUUUAUUUGCACCAGCACCUCUGUCUCCAGAGACAUAUGCUACCUUCUGUUUGUGAUAGAAAUGCAUUCAAUUGAUUUGUCUAUAUCUGCAAAUUUAACUACUUGCAUUUGUGCUACAUAUUCUGCAUUUUAAUUCGAUUUCUACAGAUACUUCAGCUUGCAUGGACGACUUUGACUUAGAAUUGGACGAGAUGGAAUUAGUUGCUGCUGCUGCAGGCUACUACUAUUAUAACAGUAUAAACAGGCAGCCUCGUUGCAGUUCAUCACCUAGCGGAAGUGCCUUUAUGACUGAAGUGCUGGAUGGCCCUGAUGAUUUAUGCAGAGAAAUGUUUCGGAUGGAUAAACAUGUGUUUCACAAGUUAUGUACCACACUACGACAAAGAGCCAUGUUACGUGAUACUGCUGGAGUCAUGAUAGAGGAACAGCUCGCAAUUUUCUUAAAUGUCAUUGGUCAUAAUGAGCGUAACAGAGUAAUUCAAGAACGAUUUCAACAUUCAGGUGAAACUAUAAGUCGGCAUUUUAAUAAUGUAUUGAAGGCAAUUAAGUCACUUUCACGGGAAUUCCUUCAACCACCACCUCUCAACACUCCUCCAGAAAUUCUCAGUAGUAAUAGGUUUUACCCAUAUUUCAAGGUUUGUUUACAGAUCUGUUUGUACUUUUUUUUUUUUUUAAAUGUAUAAUUGUUACACUGCUUACUUGAAUUUUUCUUCAAGCAGGACUGUAUUGGAGCCAUAGAUGGUAUGCAUAUCCCUGCACAUGUACCAGCCAAAGACCAAUCUCGAUUUCGUGAUAGAAAAGGUGUUCUGUCACAAAAUGUUUUGGCAGCAUGCACAUUUGACUUGCAGUUUAUAUUUAUUUAUCCUGGUUGGGAAGGUUCAGCUGCAGAUUCACGUGUGCUAAGAGCAGUCCUUGAUGAUCCAGAUCAGAAUUUUCCUCGCAUACCUGAAGGUUCUCCUCUUUAUGUUCAUCUGAUGUAGUUUUGAUACAUCACUUUUUAUUUAUGGACAUUUGCACGUACACACACAGCUCGUCUGCAUGUGAGGCCAUUUCCAUGGUAUGGAAGGCUGCUUCCAUAUCAUUUCUAGUUGUUUGAAUGAAUUUAGUGUCCCUCUCAUCAUCACUAAUUGUUCUGUAACAGGAAAAUUUUAUCUAGUCGACACAGGAUACUCAAAUAUGGAAGGAUUUAUUGCACCAUAUCUAGGAGUUCGCUAUCAUCUCCAUGAAUUUAGAGGUGCAAAUCAGUUACCCAGAAAUGCCAGAGAACUGUUCAACCACCGACAUUCGUCUCUAAGAAAUUUCAUCCAGAGGUCUUUCAAUGUGCUGAAAACUCGAUUUCCCAUCCUCAAACUUGCACCUCAAUAUGGUUUUCAUAUCCAAAGGGAUAUAGUAAUUGCUGCAUGUGUUUUGCACAAUUACAUCCGACGUGAGGACAGAAAUGAUUGGCUUUUUGAUAGUAUUGGCGGUGUGGCAUUGGAAGAACUUCCUGAUUUUGAUGAUCAACCUGAAAUGCAGUUGGCUUCGUCCAUUCAAGAGCAAAUUGCUUUCUCAUUACGAGAAUCAAUUGCUGCAGCAAUGUGGAAUGACUUCAUAAACAAAUGGGAUCAGUGGUGAAUGAUGGCACUAAUCUCCAAUCUGGGUAAACAUACUGUAUAGGUCAUGUUAUGCUGAUUAAUUUUAUGCUUAAGGGUUAUGGCUUUUAGGGGGAGAAUUGAUUGAAUGUGACAUUUUGUGGGAUCGAGUAGAAUUGACAUUUUGAAGCAAUAGCAUCUGUUUGACACGUGCAAGGAAUCAUUGCUUUGUGAAGUCGACCCAUAUAUCGAACUAGUUUACUAAGGCGCACAUCUUGCUAGUUUGUUUAUUAUUGUACCUAACAAUGAAAAUAACAAUUUUUAAGAUUUUUUAAUUUAAUGCAUAAAUUUAUUUUUCUAUUUUGCGUAAAAAAAAGUUUAUGGUGCCCUCAACUUUUACUUUGACGCUUCAAUUUAUAAAAUUAUAUAAAUUAAAUACUUUAACUUACAAAAAUUAUUCUGUUGAAUAUUUAAAUUUAUAAAAUUAGAUUAAUUAAACACUUAAUAGAUAGUUGCAAAAUAUGAAAAAUUAUUGUUCUAAAUAUUAUACUAAUCAUAAAUGAAUAUUUUGCACAUGAAUAACAAAAUGUUAUUAGUAGUAUAGAGAGAUCCAACAACAAAAUUCAUAAGUUUAGGCAUAAUAGGUCACUCGCAAAAUUUAAAAUUUCACAAAAUUUUUUCGCAAAAUACAUAAAUAUAUUUAUACAUUUCUAUAAAGUACACGGAUAUAUUUACGUACACGGAUAUAUUUACACAUAUGUCCUCAUUUUCAGCGUUUCUAUCUUUCUCGUCCUCUCUCUAUUCCUCUCGAUGUUUAACAGUUCUCUCUUGAUAUGUUUUUCUUCUUCUUAUUUGUGUUUCUCUAAAAUAGAAUUUUUGAUAUUUUGAUCUUGAGUUUAAAACCUUUCUAUUUCUCUAUAUUAUAUGUACCAAUCUCUCCAUCAAAUUCAAUAUACUUGAGCAUCGAUUUUAUCAAAGACAAAGCUCAUGCCGAGGGUUUUUGAAGGUUUAGAAAUGCGUUUCAUGAAGAGGAAAAAUUGGAGUUUACGCCAUUUGUGGGAUACGAGGUGUUUUUGUCGCUGUUACAGUUUUUGUAUAGUGGACAAGCCUCUGUUGUCCUUCAAAAGCAUGAGCCAAGGCCUAACCAUAGUGAAAGAGGUUGUUGGAGGCAUUGUACCGCAGUCAUUGAACUUGCUCUAGAUAUUGAUGCUGCUGCUAGAUAUUUUGGAGUUGAACAGCUUGCGUUGCUUUCUCAGGUCUUUCGGUCUUGAUACAAAUAUUUCUUUUCUUUAUUUUUUUCUUCUUCUUUUUUCUCUCUAAAAUUUUAACUGUAGUUUUGAAUCUUGAUUAGUGUGAGGAGUAGUCAUAUCGUUUCAUGAGAAUUUUUUUUUGCAGGAUUUUGGAAUUUAUCAGAGGUUGGUUUUGUAUAUGUAAUGAAUCUACAGUUCUAUGUUUCUUCUGUGUUUGGUGAGUUUAAUUUAGGAAAUAAUAAUUUUGAUCUGAAAUUUAAAAAUCAGCUUAGGAUUUUGAUUGGAAAAGUUCUACUUUUGAUUAUCAGUGAUUGGUGGUUAAAGAGCAAACAUGAUUUUCAUUUCUUGAAUUUCCACAUAAUUCUUAAAGAAAUUUUAUAAAUUGAAGUGUUUAAUAUAUCAAAGUAAAAGUUAAGACUACCAUGAAAGUUUUUUACGUAAAAUAUAAGGAUGAAUUUAUGUAUUGGGCUUCUAUAUAAUUUUCAGUGUACUUCAAAUUUAAGAAGUAUAUCCUAAUUUUAAAAAGUAUAUCUAUAGCUAAUAGAGUUCAUUAAUUUUUUAAUUAAAUAAAAUAAUUAAUAAUACUUUAAAUAAUAAAAAUAAAAUUUAAAAAAUACAAUAUUAAAUAUUUAUGCUUGAGGUUGAUAUUGGCAGCAACAAUUAUUUCGUUAAUAUCUUUUACACCUUAAUUGUUUUUUCAGAUCUAUUGAUUCUUUUAUAAAGAAAUCACCACUCUCACAAAAAACUUCAAAUAUGCAAAAAAAAAAAAAAAAGAUUUAUUAUAAGAAAAAUAUAUGAAUUUAUUAAAUUAAAUAAAAAAUUAAAAGUAGAGAAAAGGUGAAGUGAAAGAAAAAGUAAAAUAGAGUCAUGGUCUCUCUAAAUUUAAUCACUAAAAUAGAGUAAAAUACAUCUAAGUCUUCAAUUAUUUUUUGCUACUGUUUUAUUAAUUAGGCAUUAUAUAAUAUAAUUAGAAAAAUGAUGACAAUCUAUGAGUAAAAACUGGUGUAUGUAUAUAUAUACACUUUUGCACACCACCCCGAUAUAUAUAUGUAUACACUUUUUCAUGAAUUAGUAUUUCGUAUUCGUAUUCGUAUCCUUAUGUGUGUGUACAUGCAUCAGAGGCCGCGGGAUACCCAGAAAACGAAAAGUCAGAGAAUUCAAAAACAUAAGGGUUUUUCCACAGAGGAAAGGCCCUUUUGGAUUUUGCGAAAAAUGACAACAGGCGCCAUUUUUUCCCCAAUGUUUUAUUUUCCCGCUCAUUCCCUCUUUCUUAUCACUCUGUGAAUUACAUUUGAAACAAAAUUAAUACUUUAUCUUUAAUGAAAGACUUCUAAUUUUCGAUAGUUAAAAACAGCCCCAUUUCGCAGCUCUAGGCCAGUCGUGGUUUUGCUUCAACUUGUCUUUCCCAAUAGGAUCAGGGCUCUUAUAUCGAAACAUUGAAAGUAAAACACACGGCAACGAGUAGGGAAGAGAGGAUUGUGUUUAACUCAAGAAUGGGAUCGGCAACGCUACUGGAAUCAUCAUUUCCCAACUCCGCGGUUGGUAAAAGUUCUGAUUCUGAUUCAGGUGCCCGAGAAGCCUAUUUUUCUCUUCACUACAUUUUUACUAUUUUUAUUGUUUAUCUAUUUAUUGAAUCCAACUCUUUCAGUUUGAUUAUGUUGUUGAUCUUUUUAAUACUAAGACAAAAUAAUGCUUUCUUGUUCUUGUUAUGAUGUGUCCAUGGAUAAUCUAGUGGUUCAAUUUGAAACACUCAUUAUCAAUUAAAACCUGAAAAAAUAAUACUAUGAUAAUGCACUUAUAAAAUAUGAUUUUGGGUCUGUUUUUUUUUUCCCAGAAACUAGACUAAUAGUGGGCUACGCUCGUUGUAUUUGUUCACUUUAUGAACACCCUCAUCAACAUGUUUCGCUCACUCUUGGGCAUGGUUCUAUGUGCAGGGACCUAUCCUGCUACUUAUUUUUACUAUAAAUCUUGCUAACUAGAGGUACACUUGGCUCACUAUGAAUUGGAUGAGUAUCAAGUAAAUCGAAUGCUAGAUAGUUUCCCUUUCUUCUUAUAGCAGUUUGCCACUUUUUGUUGUUGUUGGAUCAUGUCAAUUUGCAGCGCGAUGUAAUUAAUUCCUCAAUGAUGAGCUCCUAUGGGCGAGUUCACUAUGCAUAUAUAUUUGUUGUUCAAUCAUGUCAAUUUGCAGUGGGUUGUAGUUAAUUCUUUAAUGGCAAGCUCCUAUGGGUGAGAUGAAUUCACUAUGCAUGUGUGUAUAUUUGCUUAUGCUGCAUUUCUUAAUCUUAGCAUCUUAUAAUUAACAAGACGACCCUCAUCCAGUUUGGUGAUUUCUUGCUAUACUGGAAUCCAAUGUAAGAAUUUUUGAGGAUGGUUGAAACUCAACUUCAUAUGUUUGAUGCAGGAUAUCCUGCUUGUUUGUCCCUUUUCCAAGUUGUCAUAAUCCUUUCUACUUUUGUUUCUCCCACUUUUGUCCAAGCAUUAUUUAGACUUCAGAUGUGAACUCAUCAUGCUCCCUCAAUUGCUCUUACUAUAUACCAUGUUCUUUUUGGUCUCUGAUUUCAGUACAUUGGUCUCAUCUCAGUAUUCUUUUCAAAUACAAAUUCCUAAUAUUAUUACAUAAUUGGAUUUGCAUUUUGAAACAGGAACAAAGAAGAAAAAAGGUAAAACAAAAUCUUCUGUUUCUAAUGCAAGCAAGGAACUAACAAAUAAUACAAAAGGCAAGAAGCGAAGUUCCUCCCGUCAGAAUGAAGAUCCUGCUAGUUCCUGGAAAAGACCAAAGCGAGCUGCAGCGUGCACAGAUUUCAAGGAGAAAUCUGUAUGUUUAUCUGAAAUGUCUUCUAUCCUUGAACCAAAGAAAGAUCAAUCUGUGGAGGAAGAGAUUGUAGCCAUUCACCUGACAAAUGGGCAAGAAGAUGGUCGAGCUAACAGGAGACUAACAGAUUUUGUUGUGCAUGAUGCAAACGGUACCCCAAAGCCUAUUGAGAUGAUUGAAUUUGACGAUAUGUUUAUAUCUGGUCUUAUCCUGCCUCUUGAGGAUAGUCCUGACAAGGAAAAGGAGAAGCGUGUUAGAUGUGAAGGCUUUGGAAGGAUAGAAGGAUGGGACAUCUCUGGCUAUGAAGAUGGCUCUCCAGUAAUAUGGCUUACAACAGAUAUUGCAGAUUAUGAAUGUGUUAAACCUGCAAGUAGCUACAAAAAGUUCUACGAUCACUUCUAUGAAAAGGCUCGUAUUUGCAUUGAGGUGUACAAGAAACUGUCAAAAACUUCUGGAGGGAAUCCUGAUCUUGCUCUUGAUGAGUUGCUUGCGGGAAUUGUUCGUUCAGUGACUGGAAGCAAGUGUUUUUCAGGUGCAGCAUCCAUAAAAGAUUUUGUAAUUUCCCAGGGUGAAUUCAUCUAUAACCAAUUAAUUGGAUUAGAUGAAACAUCAAAGAAGAAUGACCAGAAAUUUGCUGCAUUGCCUGUUCUUCUUUUAUUGAAAGAGAAGAGUCACAAGCAUGGAAAUUAUGUUCUGGCAAAAGCAGUAACUUGUGGUGGGAAUCUGACAAUUUGUCCUAAAUAUGGAGGUGGGGAGUCAAACAUGUUACAGUCUAAUUCUUCCUCCAAUGUAGCUGAGGAAGAUGAAGAUGCAAAGUUGGCAAGACUCUUGCAAGAGGAAGAGUAUUGGCAAUCUACAAAGAAGCAAAAGAAAAUUCUUGGUUCAGCUCCGUCAGCACAUGCAAUCUACAUAAAAAUCAAUGAAGAUGAGAUUGCAAAUGACUACCCUUUGCCUGCAUUUUACAAACAUUCUAAUGAAGAAACUGAUGAAUAUAUAGCUAUUGAUAGUGAUGAUCACAUCUUUGUUGACCCUGAUGACCUUCCUAAAAGAAUGCUCCACAACUGGUCACUAUAUAACUCUGAUUCAAGGUUGAUUUCCUUGGAGCUUCUUCCAAUGAAACCAUGUGAAGAUAUAGAUGUCACCAUCUUUGGCUCGGGAAGGAUGACUGAAGAUGUUGGAACUGGAUUUUAUCUAGACAAUGAUCAUGAUCACUCUUCAUCAGGGGAUGCAGGGAUUCAAGAUGACCUCGGUUUGCCAAUUUUUUUGAGUGCAAUAAAGGAGUGGAUGAUUGAAUUUGGAUCUUCAAUGGUUUUCAUAUCUAUCCGGACAGACAUGGCGUGGUAUUGUGCAUAACCUCUUAUUUAUAAUCAGAGGGACAUGAUAGAUUUACUUUUGUCAUUUAGGGUUUCAGUUAAUUCUUUCAAGUGACAAAGUCUGAAAUUUUUUGCUAAUCAGAAUCUCUUUGAUUAAAGAUGGUGGCUUUGGUAUAACGGUAAAGUUACUCCACUUGUUACUUGGAUGUGAUGGAUUUAAGCCACAGAAAAAACUUCUACAAAAAUGUACGGGGAAGGUUAUGUGCAUCAACCCUCCCUAGAGCCCAUACAUGUUGGGUGCUUCAUCAACUGGGUCAACCUUUAAAAUCUCUUUGAUUAAGAAAAACACCAUUUGAUUAAGAAAAGCAUUAAAAUAGCUUAAGAAUAGAGUAUUAGUAAUCUUGUAGCAGGAUACUUAGUACUUAUUAGUUGAAACAAUGGCGAGUAUUAGUCUUGAGAAAUAAUUUGGAUUUAUUUAAUUAAAACUUCUGCGAAUUAGUCAUAAACAUUCUCUGUUGGCACUAAUUUGAGUAUUUGAUCUUGCUUGGAUAUUUUCAGGUAUAGACUUGGAAAGCCAUCAAGGCAAUAUUCUCCAUGGUAUAAGCCAGUUUUGAAAACGGCCGAACUUGCAAGAAGCAUCAUUACAUUGUUGAAAGAACAAAGUCGAGUUUCACGGCUUUCUUUUUCAGAUAUAAUCAAGAAAGUGUCCGAGUUCAAGAAGGAUGAUCACGGUUUCAUUUCUCAUGAUCCAGCAGCUGUUGAGAGAUAUGUGGUUGUGCAUGGACAGAUAAUCCUACAGGUUUUUGCUGAAUUUCCUGAUGAGAAAAUAAAAAAAUGUGCGUUUGUGAUUGGUCUCACAAAGAAGAUGGAGGAAAGACACCAUACCAAAUGGGUGGUAAAUAAAAAGCAAAUUAUGCAGAGGAGUCAACCCAAUUUAAAUCCCCGAGCAGCAUUGGGCCCUAUAGCCCCUCUAGUGUCCAAAAGGAAGGUUAUGCAAGCAACAACAACAAGGCUGAUUAACAGAAUUUGGGGGGAAUUUUACUCCAAUUACUCGCCAGAGGAUCUGAAAGAGGGAACUAUUGCUGAAGCAAAAGAGGAGGAAGUUGAGGAGCAAGAGGAAAAUGAAGAUGAUGUAGAUGAGGAUGAACUGAUAGUUUCAGAGAAAACACAAAAAUCUUACUCAGUGCCAUUGCGAACUAAAUCAUAUUCUUCAACGGAUGAAGUACGAUGGGAUGGGAAUCCUGUAUGCAGAACACAGAGUGGUGAAGCUAUUUAUAAAUGUGCAAUUGUCCGUGGGGAGGUGAUUGCAGUGGGGGGUGCUGUCUUAGUGGAGGUUGAUGAAUCAAAAGAAGUUCCUGCCAUCUGUUUUAUAGAAUACAUGUUUGAAACAUCAGAUGGAAGCAAAAUGUUUCAUGGGAGAAUGUUGCAGAGGGGAUCUCAGACAGUUCUUGGCAAUGCUGCCAAUGAGAGAGAGGUUUUCUUGAGAAAUGAGUGCACGAACUGUGACUUGCAGGAUGUUAAACAGGCAAUUGUCCUUGAAAUUCGGAAAAUGCCCUGGGGACAUUGUCACAGGAAAGAUAAUGCCAAUGCUGAUAAAAUUGAUAGAGCAAGAGCAGAAGAGAGGAAAAAUAAAGGAUUGCCACUAGAAUAUUUCUGUAAAAGUUUGUAUUGUCCAGAGAGGGGUGCAUUUUUUAGCGUUCCCUUUGAUACAAUUGGUCUUGGUUCUGGCGUUUGCCACUCUUGCAAAAUAAAAGAAGCUGAAAUGGAAAAGGAGAUCUUUAAAAUUAAUUCUUCUAGGACUGGAUUUGUGCACUUGGGAACAGAGUAUUCUGUUCAUGAUUUUGCCUAUGUAAGCCCUUAUCACUUCACCAAUAAAAGGGAGACAGAAACUUUCAAGGGUGGAAGGAAUGUAGGGUUGAAGCCAUAUGUUGUGUGCCAGUUACUGGAGAUCAUUGUCCCAAAAGAACCAAAGCAAGCAGAAGCAAGAUCCACACAGGUUAAGGUUCGGAGGUUUUUCAGACCAGAAGAUAUCUCACCUGAGAAGGCAUAUUUUUCAGAUAUUCGGGAGGUAAAACUGAUUUAAAAAUCUUGUGUUACAUUUAAUUAAGCAUGUCAGGUUCUUAGCCUUUGUAACCAUCCUUUAUCUUGUCGUUUACAUUUAUAAAUAUCAUUAUCUUGCAAGUUCAGAUCUUUGAGAAGUUGUGCGGUUUAAAAUUUUUCAGAUCUAUUACAGUGAAGAAAUGCAUGUUAUAUCUGUUGAGAAUAUUGAAGGGAAAUGUGAAGUUCGAAAGAAAAAUGAUAUCCCUACAUGCAGUCCUGCUGCAAUCUUUGAUCAUAUUUUCUUUUGUGAGCAUCUUUAUGAUCCUUCUAAAGGGUCACUCAAGCAGGUAUUUAUCAUUUUCUCUAUCACAUAUUACAAAAUAUGCUACACAUUUUUUAUCAGUUCAGGGGAGAAGCAUCAAUUUAAUUAAAUUAUUUAAGGCACUUAACAUCUGCAAAUUGCUUCUUUUGACCAGUUUUGGUUCAAUAACAAGACUUUGCUCUGAUGAAUUAUAGUGAUCUUCCAAACUCUUUUCUGAGCAGUUACCGGCUAAUAUCAAAUUGAGGUACUCAACUGGGACUGGGGAAAGUGUUGCUGUGUCCAGGAAGAGGAAGGGUAAGUGGAAAGAGGGAGAAGAUGAAGUUGAAAAAGAAAGAGAAGCAUCUGAAGUGAGAAGUUUAGCUACAUUAGAUAUUUUUGCUGGUUGUGGUGGCUUGUCAGAGGGAUUGCAUCAAGCUGGUGACACUCUGUCUCCUUAUAUAUGACAAACCAAGUAACUUGCUUGCUUAUCUAUCAUUGGAGAACUAAUGAUUAACUAUCUGCUGCUUUGGGCAUUGCAGGUGCCUCAAAAACCAAGUGGGCUAUUGAAUAUGAAGAACCUGCUGGAGAAGCAUUCAAGCUUAAUCAUCCAGAGUCACUGGUGUUCAUUAAUAAUUGCAAUGUGAUCCUUAGGUAAGUGAGUAUAUUGUGGUUUAAACUCUAUUCCUGUGCUUGCUAAAUUUUGUUUGAAAGCUUUUGGCUUGUACUGCAGGGCUAUAAUGGAAAAGUGUUUGGAUUCUGAUGACUGUAUCUCAACUCCUGAGGCAAUAGAAUUGGCUGCUUCACUUGAUGAGAAAGUAAUAAAUGAUUUGCCUCUGCCAGGACAGGUGGAUUUCAUCAACGGAGGGCCACCAUGUCAAGUAUGUACAAAUUUCUGGCCCCCUUUUUUUUUUUAUUAAUGCAAACUUCUGGUAUUUGUGUAUUACAAAAGGUGCAUGACCUUUCUUUGCAGGGUUUCUCUGGAAUGAAUCGGUUUAGUCAAAGCACUUGGAGUAAAGUUCAAUGUGAGAUGAUCUUAGCAUUUUUAUCCUUUGUUGACUACUUCCGACCAAGAUAUUUCCUCUUAGAGAAUGUGAGGAACUUUAUUUCUUUCAAUAAAGGGCAGACAUUCCGCUUAACAUUGGCUUCACUUCUUGAGAUGGGCUAUCAGGUAGAGUUUGUUGCAAGUAAAUGUGUGUUCUUUCAUUUGUUAUAGCAUUAAUGCAUUACCAUUAUUUAUUCUUUUACACAUGCGCAACUGGUUUGGAUUAGGUGAGGUUUGGUAUCCUGGAAGCUGGAACAUAUGGAGUUUCUCAAUCACGAAAACGAGCAUUCAUAUGGGCAGCCUCGCCUGAAGAUAUACUUCCAGAGUGGCCAGAACCCAUGCAUGUCUUUGCUGCCCCAGAGUUAAAAAUUACUUUGUCAGAAAAUUUACAAUAUGCUGCUGUUCGAAGUACUGCUAGUGGAGCCCCUCUCCGUGCAAUAACUGUCAGAGAUACCAUUGGUGAUCUCCCAGAUGUAGGAAAUGGUGCCUCUAAGACAAAUUUGGAGGUAUAUAGGAUAAAAAUAUAUGUUCCAGAAAUUUGUAAAGUAAUAUGCAGUGAUCAUGUUAUUUUGAUUAUUUAUUUAUUUAUUUGUGCAGUAUAAAAAUGAUCCUGUCUCAUGGUUUCAAAAGAGAAUUCGAGGGGACACAAUUGUCUUGACAGACCAUAUAUCAAAAGAAAUGAAUGAGCUGAACUUCAUUAGGUGUCAGAAGAUUCCAAAACGCCCAGGUGCUGACUGGCGUGACCUUCCAGAUGAAAAGGUAGUAAUAUAAUUGAGUUCUCAUAUAAGAUAUAAUACAUCUAUUAAUAUUUCAUUGUUGGGAUCAUUGAGUUCUCUACACAUCUGAUUUUAAAUGUGCUGUAUACACAGGUUAAAUUGUCCACUGGGCAAGUGGUUGAUUUAAUUCCAUGGUGUCUACCAAAUACGGCUAAGCGACACAAUCAGUGGAAGGGGCUUUUUGGAAGAUUAGACUGGGAAGGGAACUUCCCAACUUCAAUAACAGAUCCUCAACCAAUGGGUAAGGUGGGGAUGUGCUUUCAUCCUGAGCAGGACAGAAUUCUUACAGUUCGUGAAUGCGCCCGAUCUCAAGUAAGUUGUAUUUUCUCGUUAGUUUGUUCAUUUUCAGAGUAAGCUACUUUAGAUGUUUAAGUUCCUUAAUCUUAUUAGCAUUGAAAUAUGCAACAAGUAGCAAAUCUUGCAACUGCUUGCAUUAUUCAAUCAACAGCUUUUACCCUUCUGAAAUUUCAUAUUUUACGGGCAAUGGGGCGGGGCUGGGGUUGUUAUUUUUUUUUUGUUAAAAUUAUAAUAUUUAAGUAAUUAAUAUGAACAAAAAAUAUUAACAUGUCAUUGAUUGAGGCGGAAUAUGAGGAUAUGGGGCGGGGUGAAGUUCAUCGCCCCUGCCCCCCUGCACAAUAUCAGGGUCAGAUCAGUUUCGGGUUAAAUUCCAUCCUGCUAAUCCGUUAUAACACUUUGUUCCUUAUAUAUCUUGUUCUUUUUUAAGCUUUUUUUUUUUUUUUGUAUUUCUAAUCCUUUACAGGAAUGAAUUUUCCUCUCCCUAAGUUCUAAUUUUUCAUUUCCUUUCUCUCCCUUUGUUUUACUUUAACGGACCUCCCUCCUUUUUUUCCCUCUCCCAAAUCGAAACACAGUGCAAGCGGCCUUUGUCUCUUUGCUAAAAAAUUGGACAUUUUUUUUCCCAUUACUAUUUAUAGUUAAGUUCCUUAUUCUUAGUAAUUUUCUUUUUCAUGCCUUUUUUUUUACCAGGGAUUUCCAGAUAGCUACAAGUUUGCUGGUAACAUUCAACACAAGCACCGGCAAAUUGGAAAUGCUGUUCCUCCCCCGUUGGCGUAUGCACUGGGGAUAAAACUCAAGGAGGCCAUGGAAAAGAGGCAUAAAUAGAUACAAUAUAAUUUUUCUUCAGUGAGACGCAAUAUCAUUUACCCAGUUACCAGUUUGUAGAAUGAUCUAUCUUAAGCAGGAUAGACUCCGUCCCGUUUAUUGCCUGGUAAAACAAAUGAAAAGAGACUGCAUUUCUGAAUUCAUUAAUGGGGUAGAAUAGGACUAGGUUAUAUAUGAAGCUUUGCACUAAGAGCUUUGACAUUUCUCCCCCUUUUUUUUUUCUCUAAAAAUUUCUUUUAUCUUAAAAAUUCGGCAGCACUGACCACAUUUCAAUAUUCACAAACUCGUAACCCAAAAAAAAAAACAAAAAAGCCUGCACAUACUCAUUUUUCGCUUCGUCUAAAAUUAUGGAUUCGGUCAUUUACAAGCAGCAACUGGUUGAUAUCUAUUUAUUUAUUUCCCUUGAAAAAGAACCCAUUUAUUUAUUGGGCAGUGAUAGAUGGUCGGUUUCCUAACAAUGCACGGGCAAUAUUUCAAAACUUGAGGUGGGCCAUCUUAGAAAAUUGUCUAUACAACCAUAGGUAUUGAAAGAGGGAUAUAUUUGUAAUUAGUUAUUUAAAUGAAAGGAUAAAUCUAGCAUAAGCAUAUUACUUGUUCUUAUGCAUUGACCUACCUGCUGCCACUCUCAUUCUGAGCUAAGACUCAUUCCCAUGUCCUUUAACAACAAAGAAAAGAAAAUGAAAACAAAAAGUUAAUUAAGUAGAUAAAUUUUAUAAAUCACACUGCAUAUAUACCCUCUCCACUGCCACCGAUACUACAUCCUCUCAUCACUUUCAUUUUUUGAUUUUUCACGUGAAUUUUACCCAUUCAAGCGUUUGAUUUGGCUUUAAACUUUGGAAUUUACUAUAUAAAUCUAUGUUGAUUUGCAUUCUGACCUAAAAAAUAAAUUUUGUUAUCAUUUUUAUAAUUUCACAGUAUUAAUUUUAUUUGAAUUGAUCCGAUAUUAAGGCAUGGCUAAAUUUAUUUUGCGAGGAGGGAUAGAAAUGGCGAUCGAUGUGGUGAUCAGGAUUUUUUUUUUAUUUUUUUUAUUUUUUUUUUAUUUUUACAGAGAAGGAAGGAGAAUUAUGACGGUAGUAAUGGUGACUGAUAGAGAAAGGACAUCUGAGUUUGGAAUUUUCUUGCACAACUCGUUGAGUUGCAAUUACACUUUUAACCUUCACAUUUUAAUAUUUUUACGCCCAAUUUAUAAUGUAUGCAUCUUUGGGUCGGUUAGUUAAUUUAGCUGUUUUAGUAGCUGGUAGCUGUUUUAAUAGUUGUUAGCUAUUUUAUUAGUGGUUAGUUAUUAAAUAUUAGCUAUUAAUGGUUAACGAUUAUAUGGCAGUUUAGAAUAAAAGUGUUCGAUAUAAAUAACUGCUUGAUUAGCUGUUUAAUGUAAAAUGACAAAAAAUAGUAUCAAAGUGAGGAAUCAGUUAAAAAAAAGUGAUGUGUAUAUGUAUUAUAAAAUACUUUCAAACUCUAAAUACUAUGAUAGAUAUUGUACUACCGAAUACUACAAUUAAUUAAGAUAGUAUUUCAGCUCUAUCAAAAUACUAAAUACUAGUUCAAAAGAUUCCUACGAACAGUGCCUUCAUAUUCAGAGCAAAUAGACCCCACGUAAUUGGUGGCCUAGGCUUCAAAGACCUUGAAUGUUUUAAUCUUGCUCUCCUUGGCAAACAACGUUGGCCACUUGUUUCUCAUCCUCAAUCUCUUUUAUCCAGAGUUCUAAAAGGAAAAUAUUUUCCUCAUUCAAACUUUAUGGAGGCUCAGCUUGGUUGUAACCCAUCCUGGGAUUGGCGAAGCAUUUUACAAGGUAGGGAAAUUCUUCUACAAGGUCUUCGAUGGGAGGUUCGAAACGGAAAAUCAGUUGCUUGCAAUGAUCCAUGGUUGCCAACUAAGUUCCCUUUUAAACCUCGUCUUCUUAAUCAUAAUAACAGAAACCCCUGCCGAGAUAAAUUGAUCUGACAUUUUACAAGAGAUGGAAAGUAUUCUGGAAAGUCCGGGUAUGUGGUAGCUUAUAACCAAAAGAUCUUCUCUUAAUUCUCUGGAAGUUGCCUCAAAUAUUGAUGGUGGAGAUAAGUAGGUUUGGAAAAAGUUGUGGUCUAUGCAGAUUCCAAAAGGUCUGUAUCUUCUUGUGGCGAGCUUUAAAAAACAGCCUUCCAGUUGGUGAAGUUUUAGCCAAACGUUUUCCAAAUGACAAAUAUCUGCAAGUUAUGUGGUGAACUGGAGUUAGAAAAACACUUAUUUUUUCAGUGCCAUCAAGCUGCAGUUGUGUGGAUUCACUCCCCUCCCCAACUUAGAUCCUCCAUUCUUCAUGGUACCUAUUUUAAGGAAUGUUGGCAGAGCAUUUGGAAUGGCCUAUCAUCUGUGAAUAAUGCAGACUUGAUAGUUCUAGCUAGCUUCAUUUUAUGGCAACUAUGAAAAGUUAGGAAUCAUCUUGUGUUUCAAGAUAAACCAAUGGACUGGAAAGAGAUCUUAGCAAGAGCCAAAUUUAAUUUUCAAGAGUUUAAUGAAGCCUAUUGAAAAGAUCACUCUCUUCCUAACCAAACAUCUGCCCCUUUGGAUCCUAUAGCUUUAUUAUGGACUCCGCCGCCUACAUAUAUCAUCAAGAUAAAUUUUGAUGCAGCUACAAGUGUGAAAAAUCUAAGUGGGAGUAUUGGAAUUAUAGCUUGCAAUCAUGAGCAUAAGGUGCUGGCCUGGUAUGUUAAGCAUUUUUCUUACCAGACAAACCCGCUCAUUCUUGAAGCUUUAGCAUUGAGACAGGCUGUCCAGACGGCUAUUAACCAUAAAUUUGCCAGUAAUAUUCGAAGGGGAUUCAAAAAUUGUUGUUGAUGCAGUAAACAAGAAUCAAUCCCCUGCCAUUACCAUUGAUGGUAUUAUCAAAGAUAUUUUAAAUUUGGUUGUGCAGCUUUCUCGUGCAUCUUUCCAUUUUGUCGGAAGACAAUGUAACGGAGAUGCUCACAGAUUAGCUAGAAUGGGGGUUAAUCAUGAAUUUUCUUUAAAUCCUUGCUACCAAUUCGGUUGGUUCAAGAAUUCUAAAUGUUGUAUCUACUACUGACUUCUUUUAUUUCUAAUAUAUCUGAUAUCGUUUUGGGAAAAAAAAAAAAAUCUAUAAUUACUGCUAUUAUUUUUUAUUAUUGUUAUUAUUUAUUUAGACAAAAGAUUCACAACAAAAUCUUUGACUUGCGACAUUAACUGAGAUGACACCGGCAAUUCUGGGAAGAUGUAAAAGGCAUGAAACAUGUUUGGAUACUCGAGCAGGAUAGCCUCUUUGCCGGACCUCUUUAGCCCUUCAUAGUACGUGAAAUAUCCUCCGCGUUAGGUCCGCUAACGUUCACAGCGUAAUGAUCCCGAUUCGAACCUUCCGGUAGAAACACCUUCCAACACCAAUCGGUUCGGGGAACCGGCACUAACAUGGAACUAGUUAGUCGGAUCUCAGGCUCACUUCUAUCCCCGCCUCCAAAGAACGGCUGCAUAGAUAUUAAACCAACAACCUUAGCAACACGAAAUUGGGUCCUGCUGGCCCUAACCGCAACUUGAUGCGCCAAGUUUGCGCCAGCACUAUCUUUGCAAGGAAACAUUUGGAUAAAUUCGCAUUGUGUCUUGGUUCUCGUCGAGGAAUUUGAGGACGUCAAAUCCAUCAUCGUAUUGAGAAGGGAACCGGUGUUCAGGAGUGAGACAGUAGUUGACUGAGACCACGACGGCGGGCAGUUUGAGUGCGAAUCUACGGCAAACAAUGUCGUAUGAUCUGGUUAAAGCGCUAAGAAAGGAAAAACCUCCUCCGUGAAAGAAAACCAUUACGGGGAGAAUAUUAUUGAUAGGUAUAGAGUCGUGAUGGAGCCCACUCGCACAACAACCGCAUAUAAUCUCUGUAUUACUUCCGAUGAGAGUGUAGAGGCGGAACAAUAAGUCGCGUGCGUCGUCGACAGGGAUAUCGGAGGAGAUAACAGAACGGAUAGGUUUGGUAGGGGAAGGAGCUGAUUUGAGAUCGAGGAAGCUGAGGAGGCGGCGGUUUAUGGUUCCGUCAGAACGGCGAGAUGUGUCGGAUAAGGUUGAGAUUAGUGAGACGACAAGACGCGUCCUCCAUGGAAGAGCAGAUUUUGCUGGUGGCACUUCUGCUUCAGGAUUUGCAAUUUUGCUGCUGCUCGUUGCAGCUUUGGUUUUUUCCUUUUUCUUUUUUUCUUUGGUUAUCACUUGUAAAAUGCGAAGGACCCAAGGCCAAGGUUAUAAAAGAAGGGGAGCUUCCGUUACUGUAGGUUCAUAACUACUAUAAGCAUAUCUUUCCAUGUUAAACUGUACUCAACGGGUGGUGACGUGGUGGUUGAAAAAAACUGAAAUCACAACGACCCACGUGGGUAACGCCUGUUUAUAGACGGCCACGCAACACCAUUUGUCUCUCCGGGCAGAUAGAAAUAUAGAUAAGCUAAUUUUUUUGAGAGAGAGAGAGAGAGAGAGAGAGCGAUGAUUUGGGUUCUUUAAUGUUCGGGUUGAUCGGUCGUUAGGCUUAACUUAUUGACUUUAUUAUGAUAGGAUUUGGACUUUGGAGGGUUGCCAAAAGCCGGAGGGGCCCAUUGGAGGGUUGCCAAAAGCUGGAUGGGCCCAUUUAUACUAAUUGCAAUAGUCAAAAGAUUUGGAUCAUGGAUUGCAUAGUUAUAUUGGGCCUGACAUUCAGUUCUAGCGGAAGUUCUCAGCUGACUCAGCGGAGAGGAUAUCAUCCCCAUUUCCCCUUCUAUCGUUUUCCUCCUGGAUUCGCGAGUAACAAAUUGCUCCUUCGUCUAUAGUUCUCUCAAUGUAAGUACACCAGUGCUUGUCUAUCUAAGCUUGUCUUUUUGUUACUGGUAUGAGUAUUGAAAUUAAGAUACAUGUAAAUAAUUGAAGGAAAAAAAAGACCAUGGCUUUGAGCUUUGAAGAAUCGAAUGUGGUGCAUUCGUUGCUAACAUCGGAGCAACGACCAAUGGACGAAAUUGUGUCGGAAUUCACCUCGAAAUUUGGCCGCGCUCGCUUUUUCUCUGUCUGCAACUCUCUCUUACUGCUCUUAGAGGCAAGUAAAACCCAUCUGUAUGCGUGUAUACCGUAUACUAUGAUGUUGUUUUCUUCUGUUCUAACAGUGAAAGUAUCCGAAUGGAUUAGGGUUAGGGAUUUGGCGUUUGAUGCUAAUAUAUUCUUGAUUUGGGGUUUAGUUAUCAUUUGAUUUCAACGUAUUUCACAAAAUCCAAUCAUAUAUUAAAUAUGCAAAAAGACAAAGCACUUAAUUCUAACUUGAAAAUUAAUAAUUCGUAGUCCCCAGUAGAACAUUUGUAACAUCACAUAACCUAAAUACAAGACAUAACACUUGUAGCACUGAUAUAUUAAUACUAGGUGUUAACUCAACACCCAUGAUUUACUACCUAAGUAAUCAAACCAUUUAUAGUUAAGUUAAACUCAUAAGAGCUCCUUCCAUUGUUCUUGUCCUGACCCUGCUCCACUAUUUUUACAAUAUCAGGAGCUACAGAUAGAAUUUUCAUGUGAAAACAAAAGGUUAGAAAGUAGAGAUCUAGAGCUUUUCAACUAUAUAUGCAAGGCCAAAUUUGGUUAACAAAUGAUUUCUGUGGAGCCUUUUAAAGUUACUGAACCAAAGCUGAAAAUUUUUGGUCUGCCAAGGCAGAAAAGAGUUUAGUGCUUUAGCACGGCCUAGCCAGGCCUGAGUCUGCUUCUCAUUAUAAUUUUUCAUCUUACGCACGUUCCUUCAAUCUUCCUUCAAUCUCCAAUCCGUCCUUUCAUCUACGCAAGGUAAAUACAGUCUGUUUUCGAGGCAAACUCACCAAGAGAUUAUGUUUAGUUGCAUCCACUUCCUAAUAUUGAAGCACAAGUCUGAGGUUAACCAGAAGAUGAUAAAAACCUAUCAUAUACAAACCAAAGCAACAUUAAACUUAAUAUACAACCAUACAACCACACUAAUUCCAUAUUAUGUUUACAACCAACACAAAUACAAGGCAUUAAAACGUACUCCAAAAUACUCCCUUCAAAUCAAAUAUCGAAGACUCCAAAAUUUCAUUCAUUAACCAAACAAACAUGCACAAGUGCCUAAGGUUGAGGAAAAAUUACAAUCAUUCCAAAGGUUUUAUCAUAGGGUUCAAGUAGAUUUGUAAACAAUAGGAAUUUCUUUUAUGCUUUUCUUUUCCCUUAGCUUGGUUCUGUAUCAUCAUGUACUUUAUUUUAAUAUUGUAUUGGGAUUUCGUAUGACUAUUUACUUGGUUUGCAUGCCUUAUGUUCCUUGUAAGUGUUAUAGGCAUUAUUCUUUAUGUCAUUACUCUACUUAUAUUAAUUCAACCAUAUGUCUGCAAUUCAAGCUUUAUUUGAUAGUAAGUGUAUGAAUAGCUGAUGAUAAGUCAUAUGUUACAUGACUGCAGGAUAACAAGAUGCUCAAGUCUACUGAACGUUUAAUUGCAUUUGCUAUUCUUCACCAGGCUUAUUCCUCUCAACCAACAUCCAUGAACCCAUUCAUAUCUUAUAUUGUAAAUGUAAGCACCAUGAUAGUUAUGAACAAAGCAUCAAGAGUGUCCAUUAUUAUUUUUAAUAUGGAGGCCAUAAAAGCAUCAGGAGUCUGCCAUCAUUAUUUUUAAUAUGGAGGUUCAUGUUAGACUAUCCUUCUGUUUUUGUAUAUGUAUCACAUAUGACUGGUUCUGUUUAUUUGCAGAGAUUUAACUUCUAUGUAUGCUUUUGUCAAGAAUCGAUGGUUUUUCAGGACACAAUAUUGAAGAAUUGACAUUUUCUUUUUUGGCCGACAAUUGAGGCUUAUACAUCAAAUUUAGGGCAUAUCGUCAAUAUUGUACAAUACUUUGUCAUGUUGAAAUAAAAUAGCUUCUGUUACAAUAUUUAGAAUCUGGAAUAACAUUAGCAGUACAUCUUGGGUUUCUUGUUUAAUAAUUAACCUUACAUGUUUCUGUGUAUCACUGUACUAUGCAUGUUUCCAUGUAUUGUCUCUCUCUCUUGUGUACAUAUUACAUAAGGAUGUUCUCAAUUCUGGUUUCAUUUAUGUUUUGUAUUUGUUUAAUUUUUUUAACAUGCAAUGUUAUCAUGUAUAGCAACAUUUCUAUCUUAAUUAGUUGUUAUAAUACCUUUCCUCUAUGGUGAUCAUGCAUUCUAGAUAGGGAUCUUUGUGCAGGCAUGAGAUAUAUCAGGUAUCUGCAUGCAAUGACCUUGUAUUGUGUCCUAUUUGUUAAAAAUUCCCCUAUCGUUAACUUCUCUAUGUAUUGUUGUCCUAUUGUUAAAAGUUCCCCUAUUGUUAAUUUCUCUAUACAGGGUUCUUGUUGUUUGUGCAGAAAGUAUUUGACACUUUGACCUCUUGGUUAACCCCCAAGACUAUGAAUUUCAUUUAGCUGGCCAAGUAUGUUAGAAAUCAAAUGAGCGUUUGAUUACAUCCAAGAGCAAAUGCAUGCGUAUUAUAUUAUUAUGAGCUUGCUGUCUUAAAUCAUUUACCUCUUGAUUCAAUUUUAUACUUCAUGAAUGUGAAAGGAUAUCAUCUAGUCUUCUUUCUGGAAUUUUCUUUUCUUCAUUUUUUUUUUUUAAUUUUUUUUUUGUAGUUUCUAUUUUCUGUGUAUCACAAUGAAAUUUGUCUCUUUCAAUUCUUUUUCUUUUUUAAUAAAGGUGAUGCAAUGACCAUAUUAUUUGUUAUUUUGCUGUUUAACUUUGCAAUGUCCAGGCAGCAUGUGAUGAUGAGGCUGAAAAAUGUGAGAGGGCGUUUCUUCUCCAAUUGUUAGGCUCUGGAAGCUCUACUGGUGGGAAGGAGGUAUAGCUUUCUUUAUACCUUUUUAUAUUAGAUGAUCUUGUAGCUUUGUUGAAUUCCAAAUUGGUUUGGGCUAUGAUGUUACAAAGGUUGGAAAAAUCUUUUGAUGCUUUGUUGGGGUUGAUGAAUAUAUCAGAUUAACAAUUUAUUACAGGGAUAAUUAUAUAUUUGGUGUUUGAACUUUUUUGGAAUUUUCUAUUUUGGCGUCUGAACAGAAAGUUUUAUAAUUAAGUGUCUAAACUAAUUAAAAUGUACAAUUGAGUGCAUAAUGCUGAUGUGGUUGCUGGAAUGCUUAUUUAGGCAAAAAUGGGACCCACUUUUUAUCUAGUUAGCAUUCCACAUGGUCUAGGUUCUCUUGCAUCAGAAAAUUUUUAUUUAUAAGAAUAAAAAAUAUUAAACAUUAAUUGUUGAUUAGCAUUUCCCUUUUUGUUUUUGUUAAAAUUCAAAUUAACAAUUGAUAAUUAUAAUUGCUUGUCUCUUUUAAGUAAUGCUUUUUAAUCAUUGCUUACACUUGGGCAUAUUUUACGAAGCCGUUGAUGUGUGUGAAGUUUUAAAACCAGGUUCCAUGUACUUUAGUUUGUCUUAGAUAUUUUUAGUAAAUUUAUGAAUAUGGCAAUACAUGGGCAAUUGGCUAAAGUCUUGAAAUGCUCACUCCAUUAGCUAGCUAGUGUGUGAUGGAUUAUUCAUUUUGAAGUUAUCGUUGCAGAGUAGAAUAGAAGAUUCAAGAUUUUAUAUUAUAGCUUGAAAUCCCAUUAUUACGAGUUCAGCUGUAUAGAAAUUGCUUAUAGCAGGUGACAGAAUAUAGAUCAAAAUGUUUUGGAGUUUGUGUCAUUACAUAUCUGAUAUUCUUUGCAAGAGUUGCCAAUCUAGUCUUGACUUUCAACUGGACUACUCUUUGUCAUAUUUGUUCUGAAUAAGAGCCUUCCAUUUUUUGCUUUUCUUUUUCCAGUUUCUUAAGCAUUCUGCUGCAAAUUACAUCAAGAUCUUUGAUUCUUCAGCUCAUGUAAGUUUAUAGACAAAUACUGUCACUUUUACGCAUACAGCUAUAUUUUUCAUUUUGUGUUGAUUAAGGCUUGGGAUCAAGGCUUAGUUGUUGUUUUUUGUGUUGAUAAAUUUAUCUCUUCAUUGUCAGGCUUUCCCACAACGUGAAGAGUUGCAGCAACAAUAUUGUGAUAAAGUCCAUUUUGAACCAUAUAAUAGCUUAUUUAAAAAUGCUACAGUGAAAAAUAUAGUGCCAGACCCUGAUGUACCCCGCAAUUGUGAUGCAAAUUCACAAGAGUAUGUUCCUUAAGAAUCUGGGAACUGUUUCAAGAGACAUCUUAUUUCUGCACUACUUGUUUUUGGGCUUUCUGUUGAGCUUAAAUUACUUCAUUUUUAUGCUUCUCAUAGAUAUUUCAUUAAUGGUUGCAUUGUAGGUUUGAUUUGCAACCUGGAGCUAAACCUAAACUUGGAUCUGGAGAUAGAGAGGAGAAUCUCACUGGGUUGUUGGUGCACUUGUCACUGGAGGGAAUAGGUCCACAGUGGAUCAGGCCUCAUCCACCUGUGUUACCAAUACAAGAUGGUGAGGUAAGGGCAUUAUGUGGAUGAAUAUUUGAUUGACUAGUUGAGUUUAUUUCUCUUUACUUACAUGUCUCUAGUUUCAUCCAGCUAGUGUGGCUUAACCCUGACAACAAUCAUGAGCUCUUGUGGGACCAUGGUAUGUGUGCGGAUACUAGCAAAGGAGCAGCUGUUAGGGACUUAAUCACAAAAGCCUUGAAGGGCCCAUUGGCUCCUGCACAACAAGAGGUCCUACAACUAUUUUU